AAAAAAAAAAAAAAAGGUCUUUGGUUUAUUAUUAUUAUUACUUUACGGACGAAACAAUUUGGUAAGCACCAGAAUACCGCAAUGAAUACAAAAAAAAAAAUUCAAUACGAAAAAAAAAAAGAAGAAAUACAAAGAAAAAGAAAAGAUAUUGAUGUGUCCAUAUGUUAUAGACAGGUUUUUUUUUUUUUCUUUUUCCUUAAAAAAAAUUUGUAAACUUCACCUAUGCAUGAUAUGGUCCAAAUGUCUAAUCUGUGAUUGUUACAACUUUUAUUAUUUAAAAGAAUUAAUUUGAUUAAUCCAUACCUGUGCUUAUAAUUUUAUGAUGUUACUGACCUCUUUCUAACUGAUGAAAAUGGAUUGUUAAUUUAAAUCCAAUUAUAUAAUUGACUGGAAAUCCAAUUAUAUAAAAUUUAAAUAUUUAUUAUUUUAUAAUUAUUUUUAUAAAUUUUAAAUUUUUUAAUCAAGAUACUAAUUUAAAUAGAAAUAAUUUAUUAUUUAUACUUUAAAUUUUAUAUAUUUUUUAAAAAAAUUUAAAACUUUACCGACACUGCACGUCCCGUGCCUUCCGGGCCUAAGGGCCAUGCUGGACCAGAGGCUUGGUAGCUCCAGCCCGGCACGGCCCGGUUCUCGGAUUUGGAACCGGGCUUGGCCUGGCUAAUGUCAGUCGUGUCUGCUCAGCACGGCCCACAUUACACCCCUACUCCAGUCCCAACCCACCAGAAUGAAGCGAUAAGUGGGGGAAAAAUUAUAAGAUAAAAACUGACCGGUCUCAAAUCCGUUCUGACUUGCCAAGAAAACUAGCCAGGACCCAGGAUCCAUUCUGACCGGCCAAAAACUAACUACCCUGAAGUUUUGGAAAUAACUAAAAAUUGGGACAACAAAAAAUGGUACAUUAAUUUUAUAUUUGAUAAAUGGUUUAAUUAUAUAUGAUGGAUUAAUGUAGAAUUUAACUUAAGUAACUUUAGUUUGAAAAGUUCCAUUUAAUUUUUACAUCAACAACAUCUUGGACUAUGCUCAACCCAAAAAGAGGGCAUGGGCUGGUGAAGGCCUAUACUUGAGGGGGUUUCACACAUUUUUCAAAUUUUUAUAUUCCUAAUUAAAGAUUCUAGCAUGGGUAAGUGCAAUAUAAUUAAGAAGAUUACAUCAUCAUACUUAAUUUUUUUUUUAUAAAAAAAAUUGUUUUUUGUUCACUAAACAUGUGGGAGAAAGCAAGUAUGUUCUAUAAUUUUGCGACCUUUUUUCCCGUCAUUCAGAUUAAUCUAAAAUUCAUCUAUUGUUAAUUAAAGACAAGGACCGAAAUUAAGAAUAUUCUGGACUCGAAUUCAGAACCUUCUACUACUUUAAUUUUAUGUAAAAUAAUUAAUCAUACCUAAAACUUAAGUUAUUUAUUAGAAAUAAUAUUUUAAUAUUGGAAAAAUCACAAUUAGCCUUCUAUUGUUUAGCACAUAAUUAUUGCUUCACCACCUUGGGAUACGAAAAGUGUUACUUCGCUGCCACACAUUUUAUUUUUAUUUCAUCAUAAAAACUUUGUCAUUAAAAUUGCAGCAAAAUGAUACAAUUUACAAACCAAAUGAUAGGAAACUAAAAUUAUAAACUAUUAAUGUGAUAUAUUUUACCACAUAUGGUUACAUUAUUUUACUAUCCAAAUUAACAACAGAUCGUUACACUAAAAGUGACAUUUUUUGAACUGCGAUGUGACAAAGUUAAAUAUGCUAAACAACAUGGAGGCUAAGGAUUUUUUUUUUCCCUCUUGAAUAUUUUAUGUCCAACAAGGUUUAUAUAUGCAUAACAACCAAGAUUUGAUAGGUCAAUUAUGAAAAAAAAAAAAACAUUUGUCAAAGGCCACAAAAUUGAAAAACAAAAUGUGGUUUAACCUAGAGAGUUGACUUUGUUGUUGACAAGGUGAGUUGACCCCAACCACUCCAACCAAGUUGUGAUAGAGAAGUUUCAAUUUUCAACUGAAAAUGUAUUAAUUGAAAACCUAAUCUCUUAGACUUGUUCUUGAAAUUUUCAAUUGGUCUCCUCUAAUUUAUUGCUUUAUAUAAAUAUAAAUUCUUCUUUCAAAAGUUGGCUCCAUUUCCACAAAUAUAAAAACAAAUUGCUAAGUAUACUUAAAUUAAUUCAUUUAUUGAGUAUUGCAAAUCUUAUGUCAUGUUACUCGGGAUCUAUUUGACUUUGCUGUAGAGUGUAGUAUUCCCAGGUUAUUUCGAUAUAAUUAUUAUAUUACAGAAAAGACGAUAAAUUUUUUUAUAUAUGAAAUAUUGUACUGGUGAACAAAAUAACUGGGAUCAAACAAAAUCUUAGUAUAUAAUUGGCCUGGUUUAUGAGGAGGUAGCUUCUGCACUUCAAGAAGUAGUAGCUGAGCUGUUUGCCAAACAAAAAAUUAAGAAACUUUAUUAAAAGAUUUUUCAUUUCUCUCCUAAUUUAUGUAGCACAAGAUAAAUUUGUGAGGUUAAAAAGAAAAGGGAAAAAAAAUAUAUUAGUGGCUACCUAAGUAGAUUGGUGGAGCUUGGCCUAAAUUUGUUUGGUCUAAUUUGAGCCUACAAUUUGGUUUGUAUCUCUUAUACCAUUUUAUUCUAAUAAUAAAGGUCCACUAGGGCUCUACCAAACAACCUUAUAUAUAUAAUAAUAUCCUUAUAAAAAAAGGUAAAAAUAAAAACAAAUAAAUAUUAAAUAAUAAUAAUAAUAAUAAUAAUAAUAAUAAUAAUAAUAAUAAAUAAAAAAUUGUGCCCAAGGAUAUUAAUAUGCUUACUCAAUGGUUUAAUUGUUAGCAUACAAUAAUUGUGAUAUGCCUAACUCAAUUAUGUUAGCUUAGACUUAUUGUAAUAAAAUUUGUUCUAAGACAUGUUUAAAGUGUAAUUAAUCACGAGAUUUGCGCUCGACGUCGAAGUAAAAUUUUCGACGAAAAUUGAUACAUCUCUUCUUAUAGUUCUUCGAAAAGGAUCUAACUGCGAAUUUGGUUAGUUUUUUUGAAUUUGGUAAUUUUGCGAAAUCUAUUAGUAGGAUUUUGGCCAAAAAUCCACCCAAAAUUUGGGUACUAUAGCUUGAAAGGGUAAGGGAAAAUUCUAUAACCACUUAGUUAUUCAAAACACUAAAGUUAGAAGAUAAUAGAAAUUAGCACAAAGAUACUUCUAAAUCUCAAUUAAUAUAUAGAGUAGGGCUACUAUACUCUUAUGAGUAUAGAGCUCUUUGUACUCAUAAGUUGUUUUCGAUGUUAGGGUUUUCAAAUCGAUGAUCCACACCGCUAAACAGGAUCUAGAGUAUUUGAAACUUCUAGAAAAUAAAUUUCGUAAUUUUUUGAAAUCAUUAUAAAGUCCAUCAAGCAGGUAUAAAAUGAACGGUUAAAAUCAAACUACAUCCUAAAAAUGGAUGAUCGGAUCUUUCAAUUUAAGAUCGGAGUUAUUGAUCUUUAUUUAGGUAGUGAAUAGAAUUUUUGAUCAAAAAUUCAACUUAUUCCGAUUCUUUUUUACCGUUAAACUAGCAAAUAUCUCAUACCGGCCGUUAAAAAUUAUAAUUAUUUUAGCUUUUGAUCAUAAGAUAAAUGAUAUCAAAAAAUUAUAAAAUUUGAUUUCUAAAUAUUUUAAACGCUCUAGAUAAUGUUUAAUGGUAUGGAUCGUCGAUUUGAAAACUCUAUCAUCGAAAAAAACUUAUGAGUAUGAAGGCGAUUGUACUCAUAAGAGUAUAGUAGCCGGACUCUAAUAUAUAUAUAUAUAUGAGUAGGGCUAUUGUGCUAUUAGGAGCACAGCAGCCCUUAUGCUCCUAAGCUUUGUUACUUAUUCCAAGUAUACAUGCAUGAUUCAUUUGGGAGUGGUUUUUCACUACUCUUUUGACAUUGUAAAAUAUUGUAGAAUUUGAUCACUCACCUUGCUUGGUAAACUACUUGUAUUUGCCAAGUGUGAUUAACCUAAACCUCUAAUUAUCUUAAUACUAAUGUAAUGAAUCUGAGAACUCGUCGACAAUCACGCGUGCUUUGCCUAAUUCUUUCGUUUAGAGUCGGAUAACAAACCACGUUUCGAAGAUUAUAUAGUUCAAUCAAUUUCCAUGAAAUCAUAAAUCUCCAUCAUUUACCUUCAUAGUUAUUGAGUGGAAAUCCAAUUAGAUCUUAUCUCCAAAGUGAUAGCAACUCAAAUAUAGGCCAAAAUCAAUUGAAAUAACAUAUCUUAAGUGAAAGUGGCUGCUCAUUAUUCGUCGACAUCGAACAAUCUCGUAGAAAUUGACAAGUUGAUCACACUUACCUAGUUGCUUGGUAAACUUAUCUUUGCAAAGUGGCAUUGACCUUAAUUGCAUCUAAUUAUCUUAAUAAUUUAAGGACUCUUCGAUAAACACGCGUUAGUUUCACAUAGGGCAUAUGUAUAUGUGCUUGGAUCGACGAAAUUUAAUUGUCGGUGAAACUCAAGUGCAGUGAAGUUUAAGUUUCUUUAAACUUAAUUAGCAUUCCUUUUAUUUGUUUGUUUUAGUGAAAUUCGAUUGUUUGAAGUGAGGUUUCACUAUUUCUAUUAUUUGUUUUGUUGAAACUUAAGUAUGUCCUAAGUCAUAUUUUAGCAUUUUUGCUAUGUUUUUCAAUAUAAUUAAGUCCACCUAGUCUUAAAUUAAAUUUCCAAAAUAUAUGUUUUCGCACUUACGCCAAAACAAACAGUAGAAGGAAUCACUUAUACCAUAACUCUAUUAAUUUCUCACCCUUGAGUCACUCCAAUCCAAACAUAUACACCAUUAAUUAGAGUUGGAUACUUGGAUGGUUACAGAAAAUCAAAAAUAAUUGACAAUAGAGCUCAAGAUUUAUUUUAUGAAAAUUUAAUGGAUAAAAUCUCUAUCUUGUCAAAUAUAUUCUUAGAUCAGUUUUCUACUAUAUCAAUCUUAAUUUUAGAUAAUAUAGUAUCAUAACUAAUUCUAAAACCCCUUCAUUUCAUGAGGUUGUGAUCGAGCGAGUUUGAUCCUUAUCUUCGUAUAUAAAUAUUCACGAGACCAUUUCCUACCAUUUCCUCGUGCAUUUUGAGUGGAAACCCAAAUGUUCCUAACUCCAAAAGUAAUAGCACUACAACAAAAUAUGUUUUAGACAAUGCGUCUUCAAUAUUUAAUAUGUACUGACAUCAUGAUUAAGCGUCGCCAAUAAACAUAUUUUUAUCAAAUACUGAUAAAAAUUCUUCGAGGCUAUAUUAAAACGUCGGUAUAUUUAUUUUCGACAUGUUUACUUAACGACUCCUUACUUAGACAUUUUUAUGAGUGUCGGAGUUAUUCUUGUCGACGUUUUAAAUCGUCGCUAGUUAUUGUUUAAAAUGUCCUUAAAUACAAGAUUUGUUUAGUGUAGCAAUUAACUAACUCAAAAAUCAAAAAUAGGUCAAAAUCAAUUGAAAUAACAUAUCCCAAUUCCAAAAAAUGGACCAACAAAUACCAAAGUGUUUCAACAAGUGAUGGAGGGAGGUGUUGAGAUGAGGCACUAACUCAAAAGUGGGAUCCAAAAGUUGCCUUGGCAUUGGAGAGGAGUAGUCGGCAAUGGGUCCCUCCUAGCGCCGACUUUAGCACUAAGGUGGUCGGUGUUGGUGCACAUGCACAAACCAAUUUGUGUCCAGUACAAUGUGGACACAAGUGCCUAAUCAAAAACACAACAUAGUUGACCUAAUAUGAGCACUUGGUGGAGAAUUUUGAUGGUGGAAAUUUUAGGGCUAGUCAAAAGGUGGUAUAAUACUUCGGUUUACUUUCUUAAAUAAUGUGAAAAUAGGCCUAUGAAUUAAAAAAGAAAAAAAAAUUAAAUGAGACUUUGAUACCUUAUUAAAUAACAUGAAAAUUUGUUUAUCUCAGUAAGUUUUAUGUGAAAUCCUCACCUCAUUUAUUCGGGUUGUGGAUUAAAAUAAGUCUUCAAAUUGAAAAACAUAUAUAUCUCCUUUUUGUUACUCAAAGAUAUAUAUAUUUUUAUCUGCAACACCUUGCUUCAAACUCGCUCAACUUUCUUAACAUCUUAGGUAUAGCCACCGCCCAAAAUAUCAUAAACGGAUUAAGAGUUUUAGCCCUAUUAUAUCUUAUAUAAAAGAUUAUUUAUCUUUUAAAAAAAGUAUUAGAUGGACCUAGUCGGACUUGAUCUGCUCUGAUAUCAUGUAAAAUAAUUGAGAUUUUCAUGACGAGCUAUUUUAUAUAAUGUUGGGUGUGAAUUUUUUUCUAAAUUUUCUUGCCAUUUGGUGUAGAGCUUACUAUUCAAAUCAUUAUAUUUUUCUAUCAAUUUACUCCUUAAUAGUAGUAGUUGAACAAUGAAUAAUAUCAUUUUAGGUCACAUUAGUAGUAGUUGAACACUUUUUGGCCUUAAAUGUUCUCAUACUAAUCAAUUAAGAGAAAAAUCAAAUGCUUGACUAUGUAUUGCUAUAAAGGAUUAGGCACUAAGCGAAUCGCGUGCGAAUAAAAUAUAAUUUAUUUAGUGGAAAAUUGGUGAGAUCAUCUUAAAUUAGUGAUCAUAAAUGUAGAACAAUAGCAUUGACAUUUCCUUUAAAUAUAUAUAUAUAUAGAUAUAUGCACAAUGGAAUUGUAAGGCUAACUUAUAUAUGCUAUCACCUAAUUAUAAGGAAUCAAAGUGAGUUUGCUUCAUGUAUAGUUGUUAUUACUAGUUGAAGUAAUGUAGGAGAUUGAAAUACACAUUAUCACCUAAUAUUCCAUUUAUGGUGCCAAAGGAAUCUCUACUAAUUAAGAACAUUAGAGCUACCAAAUAGAUGAUUUAAUCAAAACACUUUCUAUUGAAAACUAACAUAAGUUAAAGGAGAAUUUUGUUUUUAUAUAGGCUCCGUUUGAAAUUGCAGAAAGAUCGCGUUACGUGAUCGAGGUGAAAAAAUACCAUGAGCAAAUAAUCUAUUUAUUUUCGCACGUGAUAUCCUGUUUUGCAUAUUGCGAGUCGAUUACAACAUAAUUUUUAUAAUUCCACUGAAAAACGUAAAAGCAUAUAUCGUCAUACACUUUUGCCCCAACUCUAUUUUAUCUACCAAACGGGCCCUUAGUAUACCAAAUUCCGGGGACUAUGUCUGCCGGCAUAUUUGAUAAGAACAUUCGAGCACAAUUUAAAUAUAAAUUUUGGUUGUUUAUUCUCACUCACAAAAUACUCUAAUAACAAUCAAAAAGACAGAAAUGGAUUCUCUAAUAUGCUGGGGUGCUUUUAAUAGCACCAAAUACUAGCUUGUUAGAUUAUACUCCUUUGAAUAUUUUUACUCGUUAGAUUAUACUAUUCAACCAACCAUCAACUCAACUCUAGAAGAUCAUUAUCGUCCUAAUCACACAUUUUUUUGGUUCACGGACUGAAAAAUCUAAUAAUACUAAUGACUUGGCGUUAUUAGAAGCAGUUCAAUCUAAUUUUCUCUAAUAUAGUAAAGAUAUUUGAUUGGAUAUUAUUAUUCUUAUACAAAAUAUUAAAAAAGAUUGAGCUUGGUGGCCGCUCAGAAGAUACUCUUUUCAUUUCUUUUCUUUUGCUUUUUUUUUUAAAACAAAAUAAAAAUUUAUUCUAGACCAACUUCUUUGACCAUGUCCCUCAAUAAUAAUAAUAAUAAUGAUAAUAAUAAAAAAAUUAGAUUCCUUCCUUUUUGUCCUCUAUAAAUACAUCCUCCCUCUCCAAAAAAACAAAAAAAAAAAAGAGAAAACACACGCAAAUUACGCAAACAUGACACUCCCUCUCCUCCACACCCUCGCGUCCCUCCUCGUCACGUGCUCCCGCCGCGUGUCACGUGCGGCGCGCCGGCUCCGCCCGGGCCCACCGCACUUGCUCCCCCGAUUCCUCGGCCCGCGCCGCAGAAAGAUCGCCGCGGAUAAUCAUAAUCGCCGCCAAAAACUCGCCGAGGAGGAGGAGCAGCAGCAGUGCUACGGCGAGGAGGAGGCGGAGGGGGAGGGGGAGGGGGAGGGGGUGUGGCGCAGGGCGAUACUGAUGGGGGAGAAAUGCCAGCCGUUGGAUUUCUCGGGCGUGAUCUACUACGACUCCGACGGGCGCAGGCUCGACGCCGCGCCCGCCCCGCGCUCCCCGGUUCGGGUGACUCCUCUUCCUCUCGCGGGUUCACAACGGGUCGCGUCUCUUGUAAACGGGUAACGGGUCUUACCCGUGCGAGCUUUGUAGUUGUUGUAGUAGUGUUCAUAAUUUUGUUGGUGAAAAGGGGUAUGCCGAACUUAUCUUCUUUACUAUACGAACUAUUAUUCUAAUUCGACAAUUUUUUUUUUUUGAAAAAAAAAAUUUAAAUACUGCUCAUGUGGUUUUACGCUUUUUCACUUUAGUACUCUAUGAUUUAAAAUGUAUUACUUCCGUAUCCUAUGAUUUUAUUUUUCUUUUUCCGUUAUCUUCUUUAUUAAUAUUUUUAUUAAACCAGUGUCAAAAUUAAAACCACGUGAUACUAAAGUGAAUAUUUGAUAAAUCACUGGAUACUAAAAUAAAUAUUCGAUAAACCAUAGGUGAGGUAUAUUAAAUUUUUUGUAUAUAAUUUAACGGAGAAUUAAGGAAGACGCUGACGAAAAGAAAAAAAUUGAAACCAAUAAAGUACUAAGCUGAUAUACUUUAAAUUAUAUGGUACUAAAAUAAAAAAGCACGAAACUUAGGGAAUGGCAUUUGAAAGUUAUCCUUUUUUUUUAAAUUUUAAUUUUGUUAUCUAAAUUUUUAAUUUAUUUAGUUUAAAUGAGUCAACAGCACUUUAAUUUUAAAAUUUGAAAGAAAGUGCCGGCGACGGACUCAUAUCUAACAAAUUGCAAAAUUACAUAGUAAACAUAGACAUUUUGCAUGGAUGGAUGGUUGACUCAGAAAUAAUUCAUAAUUCGACCAAGUUUUAUACAUUUUUACCUCUAUAUUUUGUUUCAGUAGAGUUUUUAUUUGUUUAAAAGUACGAUAAUGUUAAUAAAAAUUGUUACGUGACGCGUUACAUCAAAUUUUACUUGAGAAAUCAAGCUAAGCUUGGGGAUUCAUGAAUUUUACACUAUUUGAUUUCAUGUGUGAAACAAUAUCUAUGUUUUCCACUACUUUGCUACUUUUACUAGGUAUUUUUGAAUACAUGAAUAUGAAUAUUUUAUAUAGUACUCUUUUUUUGUAUUACUUAUACAAAGACUAUAACAAUAGUAUAGGAUACGCAGUUUAAAAAGAUAAAUCAAACUUGCUAAGAUAAAUCAACUGGCUACUAAAAUACAAUACGUUAAAAACUAAGUGUCCAACUAUGAUACUUUUAAAAGCAUAAAGUAUUUAAUGCUUGUAAAUUUUUCUUCUUUAAAUUUAUUUUUUGAUUAUUUUUAUCAGUUAGAUUAUACUAUUUAACCAACCAUCCACUUAAUCCUAAAGAAUCACUAUCAUUCUAACAGCACAUAUCUUAAUGUAAGAGCCGAAAAUCUACUAGCAUUAAUAACUUAGUACUUUUAAAAACAUAUGAACUCAAUUCAAAAAACUAAUAUCUAACAAAUUUAUAAAUCAUAAAAUUAUAAUAGUUUAAAAACUAAUAUCUAGAAUGUAACGUGAAACACAAUUAAAUCAUCUAUUGUUAAUCACCCAAACAAAGUUGAUUCACACAUGCAUGAAAUAAGAAAAGAAACACAAUCGUGUUUUCAUAUAAGAGGCUUUUGAAGUUGCAAUAAAUCAUCGGAUAAAAGCUCUGCUCUGUUCUGUUUUUUUUUCCCCCUAUUUUCUGAUCCAAAAUGUUGAGAUCAAGUAGGGGAAUAAGAUGAAAUUAAGAAAGAUAAAAGAUAUAAGAAUCUGUUAGCAUGAAGGCCUCUGUACUGCCAAAUUAUUUUCAAUUAUGCAGCUUCCAACUCGACUAUUGAUUCCAUUAGACUUGAUCUAUACUAUUGUUAAGUAUUUGAAAACUAAAUUUCAUAAUUUUUCGACGUUAUUUACCUAUCAAAUGAUUAGUCUAAAAAUAAACGGCUGAAAAUAAAAAAAAAUCUUAUAAAAAAUAAUAAUAAAAGACUUAAAUUUAAAACAAGAGAAACUGAUUUGCGCUUGAGAGCGAAAAGAUUCAUACUUAAUCAGAGAAAUUGCACAAGAGCUUAGUCUAAUUAUGCAAUUAGUCGAAACGGAACUCUUAAUUAUCUGAAAAAAAAAGGAAAAAAGAAACAUAUUUUCAACUCUCCAAAGGAAUGAUAACACUAUUAUUGACAGCGAAAAGGAUUCAUACUGUAUCAAAUGAAUUGCGCAAAGAAACAAAGAAAACAAAAUGAGAAGAUAAACUUGUAAAAUGCUACGCAUCAGAUCUCUUAUGCAUUGCAGUAAAAUCCCAGAGAGCUUACCUGCUCAAAUUUGACUACACGUCGCUGAAUCGCCAUCUGCGCACAGCCUGCUGCAGAACUUCUGCUCUAGCCCGAUUCCGCAUUGCCUCCUCUUCUACCCAGCACCUGGUUUGCAUUAUUUUGAACAAAGGAAUUCAAUAUAGUAUAGUCACACCUCUCUACCUUGCUCGAAAGGUUUCCGGUAACCAUAUUGAUUUCGCGGACCAUUAGAGACAUGGUAUAUGAUUGCAAAAUCGAAAAAAAAGAGGACCGAGUUAAAUCACCUGAGAAUAUAGAGAGCCUCUUUCUCGGCUUCCAAUAUCGACUUGGCUUCAAUUAUCGCAUCCUGCUUGCUUCGCAUAUCAUCGUGUAACUUCUCCAAAUUUAGUUGCUCGGCCAUAACAUUAGCUCUCUCAGCAGAAAGCUUAUCGCACAACCCGUCAACUUCUUCCCUUAAGGCCGAAAGCAGCUGCUUCUGACAAUCCAAAGCAGCUCUCUCUUUCAGGUAAGAAGCCCUGCUUUCCUCUUGAGCUAAUUUCUCCUUCUCUAACUCAUCUAAAGCGGUCUGAAGAUCCUUCUCGGCCUCAAUUUCACGGUCUAUCUCCUUUUUUAGCUUCUCAUCCCAAUAACUCUGAAUUUCCCCUCUCUGAAUUAACUCUGCCCCGAUUUCCUCCAUUUCAGCUAGCCUUGAUGAAUUUUCUGCUUCGAGUCGUGACAGUUCAGCACGGAUUACUUCGGCCAUUCUGCCGCUGAUUAAUGCUACUGCUGCCUGUGCCUUUGUUACAGGUUUAUGGGGCUGAAGAAGCCUAAUGUUUCCUGUUGAAUAUGAAGAAAAUUACAAAAAAAAAAAAUUAAAAAAAAAGAAAGAAAUGUAAGACAGAUUUUGAUUACUUGUCAAAAAAAAAAAAUAUCAACGAAAAUUGAUCAAUAGUUAAAAUUCAGCACAGCCGCAAAAAAAUAUGGAAAUAUAUAUAUUCUUCUUAUUGGUCAUAGAGUAGGCCAUUUUUUCCAGCUAUAAGAUUAAGAAGAAGUACAUCGUAUACAUAGUACAGAACCAUACGAGAUCACAUGGACCAGUAAUCUGGUAUACAUGGAUUCAAAAUGGAAAGGAAAAAAAAAACAAUAAGAACCGCAUUACGAAUAACUGAUCCACAACUAUAUGCUAGUAAAUGGUCGUAUACUUCCAAUCUACAGUUUGAUCCAAUGCCUUGAGUUGAAAUGGACAGGCUUAUAUUCUAGGUGGUUAUUGUAAGAAAUGUUUACUAGAAAACAUGCUAUCAUCAUAAAUGCGUACUAAGAAUCUAGGUGUCACGGACACAAACACGGGACAUGAAAUAAGACACGAUUCAGACACAGCAACUCGAUAGAUUCUAAAAAAUUAGGAUACGGAUAUGACAUGGACACCACAAAUAAUAUUAUUAAUAUAGAAAUAUAUUUAAAAUAUAUAAAAUAUAUAUUUUACUAAAAUAUUGUUAUAUUUCUCAUACGAAGUUAAUAAAAUUCUCAUUAAUAGUUCAUAUAUUAUAAGGAAAAAAAUUCUCCACCAUAAAUAGUUUAUUUAUAUCCUCCAAAAAGAAUUUGGAUGCAUUCAUCAAAAAGCCAAAUAUUUAUCAUAUUACAUUAUAUUUGCAUUAAAAAAAAGUAAAAUAUGUUCUUUUUUUAAUUGGAUGUGCUAUGGAAGCGAGCAUUGGUGUCGGACAUGCCUGUGAUACAUAGACUAGAAAACAUCCUAGAAUUCAUAGAUGUAAAAUUGAGAAUUUCUUGAACAUUGGGGAGUCCAGAUUGAAAUUUGAAAAGUAAUACAACUUCAGCACAAAGAGUGAACUUAAAAGGGGACAUAUAAUUUAAAUCAACUUGCAAGCAACUUAAAAGAUAUAUUUCAGAAGCGAUGAAAUUUCAAAUAUACGAAUAGCCUUCCUCAAGAGAAUCAGGCCAAAAAUAUGCCUAACUGUUCAUUGAAAGAACCAAUUGGAGGGAUCCAAUAUAAGAAAGAAAUCAUAAAUUCAGAUUCGGUCAUAUAUUCUGAUUUCUUGGAAAAGAUGGGAGUUCGUCAAUAGAAUUUCAGACUUUGAUUUUCGAAUUUUAAGAAAUCAAAUGUAUGACAGAAUUCUUUAUUGGGGUAGUUUUGGCUGCCAGUCCAACGACUGAUUUCACCUGGCUGGAGCUUUGAAGAAACGUUGUUUGAAUAGAACUGUUUGAAAAAGUACUGACAGUUAACCUAGUAAGUUCCCCAACAGCUUCACACUGUAGAAACAGAACGCUAAUUUCAGCUUCCCGCCGCAGCACAACCUCUGGAGCAACUAUUUGCAAGCAGCUGACCAAACAAGCAUCGAACCAAAAAUGAAACAGAGGAUAAUUUGUAGGUCAUACCAAAAACUCUCCUGAGUAUGCUCCUUUCACCACCCAUAAAGUCCACCAGCAAUUGUGUUGGUACAUCAGAACAAGCACUCAAGUCCAAAAUGCCCACCUCUUCCCUUAAUAUCUGGACUGUAAUCAAGUCAGACUUUUGCAGCAGCAAGAAACCAAGCAGCAUCGUACCAAAAACAGGAGGAAAGAAAAAAAGCAAAUUUGAACAGUUGUUGUUUAAGUACAUUAAUACCUUUUCAUCCAUUCCAGGAGUGAACGAAUACUCUAGAAAGGUUUUCCACCUCAUCAGAUCAAGUCGAGAUAAAUAUCUACACGACAACAUAAGCAGCUAAUGAUAAAGACAAGCAAAAUUAAAAAGUGAGAAAUUACAUACAUAAACCAGAAAAUUUUUAGUUGGUAAUUACAUAUGUAUCCCAGUAAAAUCUGCAUUUUCCUACAUCCCCCUUCAAAAUUUUCUUAAAUAUAUAUUCUUUCACCGACAAAAAUACACCUCUUUAAAAAAAUUUCAAACACAAAAACCAACUUGCCACAUGAAUCGGAUUCCUUUUCAAAAAACUGCAGCAUAGAGGGAAAAGUCAGCUUUUGACAGCAUGUAAAUGUAAUAACAUAAUAUUGUAGGGGUAUAUAUACAUAUAUAUAUAUUUUUAGAUAAAAGCUCCAGUAAUGUAGGAUGAAUACACCCAUAACAAUAGAGAAACAGCCAGUGUCUAAAGAUAGAUACCUUUCUGGGAAAAAAUAGAAAUUUCCUAGACCACCAGAGUCACCAAUAUAUGAAGAACCGACAUAUGUGAUCUUGCUGUCAACGAUGCCAGAUUCUCCUAGUGCUUUUGAGCACAAAUUGAUCUUAUCAGAUUAUGAGAUUUCUAACAGAAACAACCGUACAGUUUGUCAAAUACACAUUGCGGACAACUUACACUGAAUAAACCAGAAAUCAGGAUCAUCAACAGGCACAUCAUCAAAAGCAGUUGCAGCCGCACUAGAAACCAAGAUGUUUGGAAUAAUUUUGUGCCUUCUUUUCCUGCCAAGAUCAUAUUAUAAACUAACAACAAUAUUAGUUUUCUAACACAAAAAUUUCAUAUAACCAAAACAAAAUUAUAUUUACAUCUAUGCCCCGCAAAAUUAUCUCCCUCUAUACACAAAUUUGAAUUUCCGUUUGCGCCUUAUAUAAUCCCCAUGUAACAAACAAGAUGCCUCUUUUUUAAUUCAAAAUUAACUCCCCAAGCAACGGAUGACUCGCCAACUUAAGAUAACAGUAUUUAUGAAAGAAUCUGCACUUUUAAAGGGUAUAAACGAAAUUCAAAUUUUAGAGGGCAUAUUUGAGAAUACAUAAUUUUCUAAGAAUCUGUACGUAAAAGACCCAACAAUAAAUUGCUAAAAGCUUGGUUGUAUUGGACAAUUACCUCUCUAACUUCGAGUUUACUUUGACUAACCAUCUUGCAAAUUCCCUCCUGGUACACAAUUCAUCGGCAUUGACAUCAUUUUCAAUGAUCUGAGUACCAUGAAAGUUAAUUCAAAAGUCCAUGCUCAGAACUGCAGUACAACAUUAUUUCUACCAAAUAAGAAAAUUAACUCAAACCUAACUAUGUUUAACAUCACAUGCUAAACAUUGCUUGUUGUUGAUAAUUAAUAAAUUUAAGUGCGAUUUUUCAAUCAUAUAACGUCAAACAGAACAUUAGAUUAGAACGUAAGCUUUUCUAAAGUGGAGCUCUUUAAUCAUUAGGCUUUCUAAAAGCAUUAUAAGCUAGUAAAGUGUGUCAGAGAGGAAGAUAUUUUGGAGAUGUGACAAAGAAAUGAAGACAAAGUAUUACAAACCAUACAAAUAGAAUAUCAAAGAAGGAUAAACAAGACAACCACUUGCGUAGUCUUUAUUAAAGAAAGGAUAAACAAGAUAGCCACUUGCGUAGUCUUUAUUUAGAUAGCCUUCCUUUCCUGCUGACAACUUAAUUUUCCCCCUUUCUUGCCAUUACGGACAGUUCAUUAGUUCACUAGAAAAACCCUAAAACCAUACUAAUCUUACGCUUAUGAAUUGUGAAGAUGAUAUUAAAUGAACCAUUAGAUAACUUACCCUAGACAGGUGCUAAAGAUCUUAGAGAGAAACACUAGAACCACAAAAUUUCUCAGGCCCAAUGAAAAUUAAUAUGCCAUUGACAUAAAAUAAUCAUGUGCAUGCAACUAUACAUUGUUUAAUUGAAACAAAAAUGUCAAAUAAUGUCACUAAAUGAGUGUGUUCUUAUUACAAACCUGUAGUUUCUUCAUAACAGAUAAAGCUUCCAACUGUGCAGAAUCAGGGGAAAAUGGAACAUAGACUCGUUUGCAACCUCCAAAUGCUAACGUGCAAACAUAUAAAACCCCACAAAUAAAAAAAGGUUAGUGGUGCACAAAAAUGCUGAUUAAAAUGGAAAGGCAAAGAGAUAUAUAAAAGAAUUGAGUUACAAUUGCAGCUCAAUUAUUUCAAACUGUCUUUGUUUGGGACCUUGGGCCGGCUUAUACAACAGCUCCUCUACUCUAAAAAGCAUGCUGCAAAGCAUUUAGAAAGUGGCUGAAGCUUUUAUUGUGGCUGGAAUCUACACUAAGCUUCAGGGGCCUGAAAACUUAGCACUACUUAGGGCAUAAACGCUUCUGCCUUUGCAGCAACCAGAAGCAGUUAAAAGAGAUCUUGUGAAACAGCUAUUAGUGUUUCUUCAACAGCCCAUUUGGCAGCCUGAAGAGCUGCAAGAGCUCUAGUACACUCCAUGUAGUGUUCAAACUAAAAUGCAAGCUAAAAACACAAAAGCAUUUGGGAAAUCUACAGUUUCAAAGAAAGAUAAAGAGCAUGCAACUGUUUAGAAAUAGAAAUUGAAAAUUAUCUUUAUAGGAAAAAAAAUUUUAGGUUUUAACUUACUGAACAAAAUAAUUGUACUUGACUUCAUUAAUCACAAAACUUGCUAGCCAACUUACUUAACUCUUAAUCAACUUACAUAAUCGAUAUAAUGAGUAUGAGGUGCACAAAGGCAUAACCACACUUGACCAAUCAUAGUUGAAUAUCAAAAGACAGAUCCUCAAUUAACUGAACGCGAGAAAAGCCUAAUACUCUCAAAAGACAUGGAAUCAGUGAAGAUCACAAUAUACAGUGACAAAUGUAAUAUCCUUUUUUCUUUCUUCAUUUGUUUACACAGUUUUCUUAACAAGUAUGUUAUUUUAAUUCUCAGAUACAAAAAUUUGGAUAACAAAAUCAAUGCAGUGAGACCCCAAAUACUGUGAUACCUUGCCUUGCCCAACACAUAAACUGAUUAGAGUUUUGUAAACAAAAGAAGCUAUAAGUCUAUAACUGUUCAGAAAUAUGUAAAAGUUCGCGCUCAAGUACCAGUGGGAAGAUUAUCAGCAUCAACCUUCACAUCUUGAUUUCCCUUGGAAUCUUGUUUAACUUCCACUUCAGUGUUUCUGAAAUCUUUAUCAGGAUCUCUUGAAGACUCCCCAGGUACAAACUUCUCAUAAAGUGUAUGAAAUGGAGCAGUCAGGCAAAGCUUUAAACCUGGAAAGUUUAUUGCCUGUCAGAUACGCUAUUCCUGUAGCAUGAAAGCAUAACAAAAUAACCCUCCAAGCUGGAUUAGCAAACUCCAUUUACUAAAACAACUACUUUUGCAAGUAAAUCUCAGUAGCAGUGGAACUAGUUCCCUGAAACAUUAUCUGCGAAAUAGAAACAAUAUGCCAACAAAUAAAUGUGACUUUGCCAAACAUUAUAAGAGGACACCAGUUUACAGUGAAGCCAAAGCAGAAAAGUAACCAUCUAUGACAUUUAAGGCAUGGCUAAGUGCUAAAAGUUGCAAAAGAGGCAUAAAAAUGUGCUUCAAUGAUAAAUUAGAGAAAUACAAUUGUUCUUAGUACACAUUCCAAAUAUAGUGACUUAAUGGCCGCUUCAAUAGUUUGAAUGAUCAAGAAAAGAUCAGGUCCUUAGCUACUUCGCAUGCGAUCAAAAUACUAGUAAUGAUGCAUGACGCAUUCAACAAUAAAGUAAAUAAGCUAAAUGCUCAACUAAAUAGAAAAGCAAUAAACUUCAUCAACUAAGUAGGAGUUACAGGUAAAUAAGCUAAAUGCUCAAGUAGGAAACAAAAUCAGUUCCUUCUCCAAGUCAAACCACAUUAUAACAACAGCAUCAAAUCCUAUAUGCUAACCAAAUGCUAAUGCAACCUCAAGAAUCAGGAAAAAAAGAGGAUAAAGUAGCGCAACUAGAACCUUUCGUUGACAUUGAGAAAUAUGUUAGGGCAGCUAACAACACCGCCAUUGGAGCCCCAAUCCCAACAAAAAUUGCUUUCCAUGAUCCUACAACUAAAAAUUAAAGAAUAACGAAGAUAAAGAUUAUUCUUUCUCAACUAAUUAACCAAAAAAUCUGAAGAAAAUUCCAAAAAUUCACCCUUUCUCUCUUGUAAUUCCGGAUUAAUAGUGAACCAACCGCCGAACCCAUCAUCGAUCAAGCUUGCAUCCGCAGGAACCGACCACGAUUCGAGCUUCGUACCCGCAAAACAAAUCCGAGGAGAGAAUCGUCUAUUUGAGGCAUUUGAGAACCCGUAAGGAGCCAAUUGAAGGGCGGAGAAGGCGAAAUCGGAGACGAAACCCUUCGUCGGAAGGCAUGGCGAGUGGAGGCGGAGGGAAGAACCCAUUCGUCGUGCGAAUUGGAAGGGAUUACAGCAACAUUUUGGGCGAAUUGGAUCUAUCUUUCUAGGGUUUAGCGGAGGUUUGGGGCCUGGUGAUUAGGGUUUGGGGGAGAGAGAGAGAGAGAGUGUGUGUGUGUGAGGGUGUUUCGUUGUUGUCGAUGCGUGGGGAGAGAGGUCGUGGCACGUGGGAAAGAGGGGAUGUGCUACACGUGUGAAGGCCCCACGGUGUAAUCGUGGUGUGGUGUCACGGACUCACGGUGUGGCACUGACAAGUCUGACAUGUGUGGCCCACCCAGAUGAUUUUUUUUUUUCUAAAUGCAAGAAAUAUCUGAAUAUAUAUUUUAGGAUUAAUUUAGUACAGUUUCCUACAAAUAUAAUAAUAAAUUGCAAAUAUAUUUAUACUGAAUUAUGUUGCAUCCUUUUGUAUAUUAUUACUGUUACUUCAUAAAUAGUAAUGAUCUUUAAGAUCAGAGGUUCAGUCCUUCUUAUUUUAAACUAAGAUUUUAAGCGUCGUCGACACAGACCGCGUCGAUGGCACAGCUCAAAACCCUUUAUUCUUUAAAAUAAUAAAUAAUUUUCUCAAUAAAAUUUAAAAGAUGUAAUAAAAAAUGGUAAUAAAUAGUUAGAAUAUUUUGUUGCUAAAGAAAAUAAAUAUUUCAUGCUAUUAUGUGACGGCACAAAAAAAUUUUUUUGACCGACACGCAUCGAUACGACUCGACACGCACCGUACCGACAAGUUUCUAGCACGACCCCAUACCAUGGCACUUAAAUUCUUGUUUUAAACUUCUCGGUCAGGGCCUGUGGACAAGAUCCGAAAGAAGGAAAGAAGAUAAAUAAAUAGAUAAAUCAUUCCCAGUCAGUUAAUAAUUCAUAUAUGAAUCAUGUAUAAGAUCAAGCAAUUUAAAUCCCAAAAAUUUCAGAUAAUAAUUACAUGUAGACAAGGUUGAUACUGUUAAAAUGCAUGAAAGGGACCAUAAUACUUUUGCUUCAAGAACUGCAGUUUCAGAAAGCAAAAAAAAUACUUAGCUUCUUGCACUGAGAGCUCUACAAUGAACAGUUGAUUACUUCUCUACUAAUCACAAAAAAUUCGGAUUCUUCGCCUUCAGACAGUAAUCUCUUCUCUCUCAACCAUCCUCUUUCUUUCCGCCUCCUUCCGACUUCUCUCACCGACGGCGUCAGAAAUCGCCUUUGGUAACAAAAAUCCGGGGCGUUCGAGGAACGGAGCUCUGUCGAGAACUAGCGGCUCUCUCUGCGUAACUUCGAUGCCGUCGAAGGUCCAUAGCUUCAAACGGGCGUCGCCCUUUAGGCCCAACGAAUACCAUCCGAGACCGGAAACUGCAAUAUCCGCACAGUUCGCUUCCCAGCUGUUCCCGGAAAGCUUUAUCUCUCUGUCUUUCCAUUCGCCGAGUUCGGCAACCCGCUCCUGGCCAAUAGGUGGCUGGAAAACAUACAACAAAGAUAUGAAUAGUACUUGAUCAUUAACAAAUGAACAUAAAAUGAUGAUAAACUCUGGCCAAAGAGGCAAUUUUGCAGGUAUAUAAGGGUAUAUAAAUGUUGGAAGCUCAGUUCAGGAGCAUCUUUUAUGUCAAUACAUCUCUAUUAGGAUAUAAUUUGCAUGGUAAAAGAGAGAACUUCGGAUCAAAUAAUCUUAAUUCAAAUAGCAGUGAGGGAAUAGAGAUCUCAUCUCACCUGUAAUCUGACGCCAAAAUGCUUAUUCCUUAAGUCGUCGGCAUUCUCCGUCUUCCCCAUAUGAAGAGAAGCAUAAGGAGACGCCCAAACCGUCACGUAAAUCGUUUCCACAGAGGCCUCGAUUAGGUCCAAUCUCAUUAAACCACCCACGUGGACCGUUUGCCCCACCUGCGACAGUGAAAAAGAUGUCUCUCUUGAGUUCAACUCUCAAGUAAAAUAGCACAUAAAUUUUUCUCUGUGCAUAUUUGUGUAAUAACUGGAUUCGUAUUACCAAAUGUUCGAAAUUGAAAUUUAUGCAUUUGUAAGCAUAGGGCUAAUUGCAAGUUUGCGGAGAAAUCUCUCUUUACAACCUUUGCCUACUUUUCCUCCACCCAAAAAAGAAAAAAAAGAAAGAAAAAUAAACGAUGGUUAGAAAAUUUAAAAGAAAUUCAAACCAAAAUAAUUUGUUUCAGUAGGUGCCAAUCAUCUCGAUUUCCGUUAAAAGAGGCCAAACAAUAACAACUAGGCCAGGGCAAUGUUAUUAGGAACUAUUUAGGACAAGCCAAUUUACUUAAUCACCCGUAGAAAACAUUAAGACAUACCAAAAGUUCACUUACACAUCAGAACUUCGACUAUUAAAACGAACAUCGGAAGUACGCUGGCACUCAAAAAAUAUCUUACAGUACUCAAUAUGCAGCCGGAAAAAGGAAGAAAUGGAAAUGCUAUAUGUACGAAACUCCGUUUGUACUUGCGGCACAAAUUAUAAUUCAAGGUACAAAAGAUUGCGUACAUUUGCAAAUUUAUGUAAAGCAGAUAUCAUCUAAGGAAAGCCAUCCUAUGGCUGAUGAAACAUGAGAGAAUACAAACAAACAAAAAGAGGAGAAGACUAACUUUUCCCAAAAAAUAUCGACUUUUUAGGUGGAGAGUGCAGGUUGUAUAUGCCCAUACGAGUUUUUGUGUGAAGGAUUUAAUCGUGCAUGGAAGAGAAGAAUAGGGCAACGACAGUGUAACACUAAAUGACUAAUUUUCUAUCUGAAGAGAGAAAUCUCGAUCAUCUUUCCCAAGGUCCAUCAUCACCUAGGGGCUAUUUCUUUUCCCACAAUUAAUUUUCAGGCUAAAAAUAACUUUCAAUUGAACUAAAGUUCCAGUAAAAGUUAUUUUUCUACCUUUGUUUGUUUGAUAAGAAUUUCCUUGCUUUGGUUCCACUUUCUUAGUUUGUUUUACAAAAAAAUUCCACACUAGCACAUAAAAGGGUGAAAAAACAAGUUGCAGGUGAAUUUCAAACCAAACAGCAGAAGUGGGCAUUUAUGGUCGAAUACAACUUCCCCUCCUCCACUUUUGGUGAAACAAACUGCCUGAUUCCAUCUCACAUUACUAUCGUAUAAUUGAAGUUCAAAUACUCGGUGACAUGUAUUGUUAUCAUAAGAAAUCAAUUUAGAGCUCUAGAACUAAGUAAUCUGCAAAAUAUAUCAAAUAUCUGCUAGGGAUGACACGAAAUUCUCAUCUUUAUGUUCACAAACAGCUAUACUAAUAAACUAGAAAACAUUUCAUCAAGUCACCAUUAAAGAAGAACAACCAGAAACAAAUUCAUAUCAUUCCAAUUUAGUAUUUCAUAUAGAGAUAAAAACGACUCACCUUUACUCUAAAAGUCCGAGGCUGUAAUUCCUUCCUGAUCUCCACCAUCUUCUGCUCCUCUCGACUUAAUCUCAUCGUCAUAAUAUACGGAUGCAAAAGACCUGGCGUAUCAUACAUCUUCGCUUUCGCAGGUAAAACCCCUGUAACCCUCAAAAUACCCAAUGUAGUCCCCGGCACUGCAGCCUCAGUCAAUCUCGUAAUCUUAACGCCUUCUCUCUUCGCAAACGCAUUAAUCAGAGUAGAUUUUCCAGCAUUUUGUGCGCCAACUACCCACACAUUUCCGCGAGGACCUGCCAAUUCCUUUAUAUAAGAAAUCAAAUUCCUAACUCCGAGAUCUUUGCGGGCACUCACCAAAUAAACUGCAUUAAGCUUAGGGGCUCCGUUCGCCUUGGCGCGGUUACGAACCCAUCGAUCCAAUCUUGUUGGAGAGAUCUGUGAGGGUAGAAGAUCAACCUUAGUUGCCACAAGAACAAGUUUCGGCAGUUUAGUUGUCUUAGUGUUCUUGUUGCUUCCCUCCAAUGCCUUAAACAAAGAUUUUGCCGCUCUCUUAGGGAAUGAUCCAUCGAAAUCCACACAAUCAACAACUAAAACUACAACAGGAGAACUAUUCGAAGGUUUCAUCAAUCGGGUCGAUAUGGACCGAUCGAAAUCGAAGUCGGGGAUCAAAUUCUCGGCCUUUUGGUUCUUCACCUGCCCAUAAUUCCUCAGCGAGUGGCACCGCGCACACACUACCGCCGAAUUCUCCAUUUCCAUCCUUUUAGCUUCUUCUUCUCUCAUCUUUCUCUUCUUCUCCGAUUUCGACAUCUUCUCCUUCUUCAUCUUGCUCAGUGUCUCCUCAGUAACAUUUCCAUACCCGACUCCCGCGGGGGCGAAACCAUCCAAUUCCCUCUUCAACCUCUCCUCCUCAUCCUCCUCAUCCAGCCAAUCCGAAUCCCAAUCAUCUUCCUCCUCCAAAUCCUCCACCAAACCCUCACCAAGAUCAAAUUUUGACGACGACCCAUCAACACCCUCAUCCAAUUCAUCCAAAAUCUCUUCGGAAUCGGAGAAAAGGGGGUCCUCGGAACCGUACCCGGUGUCUUCGUCCGGAGAUGGCGACGAGGGUUUCUGGUAGUAUCCGGGGAGGUUGGGGUCGGAUUCUUGCAUGAACACGCCGCAUCCGGGGCAAACGAGGCGCGCCUCGUCCUCGUCCCUCCCUUCGCUGAACAAUCGGGAGGUGCGGAGCGAAGCAUGGAGGAUCGGGGCCGGGGUUCGUGUGGAGGAGAGGGAGAAGGAGAGUAAGCGUUUGUGGAGAAGAAGAGAGAAGGGGAGGAGGAGGGAGGAGGAGAAGAAGGGGGAGAGGAGGGAACGAGGGAUUAGGGUUUUACGGCCAUGAGAGAGGAGGAGGGAGGAGGUGGCGAGGCGAGAUGCGGAGGGGAAGAGGACGGUUUCCGCCAUGGGAGGGAGCUCGACGAGCUCCGAGUGUGAUAUCGUGGGGGGGUAAUUUUAGGGAGGGAGCGUUCUUAAAAAAUGCACAUACACCCCUUAAUUCUACUAUUUUUGUAAAAGGUCCUUAAAUUUUUACUUUGGUUAUUAGACUUUUUUAGACUUUAUAAAUUCGCCUAAUUUUUCCAUUAAUUAUUAUACUCAGAAAAUUAAUUUUUUUAUAAUUAAAAAGCUCGGUUAAGUUAUAAGUAGAGGAGAUUGUUAAAAUAUUUGAUGAAGUUAAAAAAAUUAAAUAUCACAAUUAAAAGUUCAGGUCCUAUUUGACAAAACGGGUAAAGUUGGGGUUUAUACACUUUUUUUUUCCUAAAUAUGUUUAGCAACCCCCACAACUAUACGUAAUUCUGAAAUCGCCCCUCACUUUCGCCUUAUUACCCUUUUAUCUUCUACAACUCGAUCUGCGUCAUACCUCUUCUUCUUCUUCUUCUUCUACCCCCGCCUCUCUCCUCCCCAUCCCCCAAAACCCUAACCCUAACCCUAGAAACCCCACUCGAGAUCUCGCCAAUGUCCCACCGCAAGCGCCCCGCCGAUGCCUACCCUGUCCCAGACUCCGGCGCCGGCGACGGCCCCAAGCGCCGCGGCGCCGACGCCUACCCCGUCGCCGACUCCGGCGCCGGCGACGGUCCCAGGCGCCGCGGCUCCGUCGCGUCCUUCCCCUCCUACCUCGACGCCCCGGAGCUCCCCGCGAAGCUGCGGCUCAUCUGCGAGCUCCUCGCCUCCGCCCCCUCCGCCGCCGCCGUGGAGCCGCUCCUCGACGGCGCCGCCGCGUCGAUCCCCUCCCUCUCCCACUCCGACGUCGAGCACGUCCUCCGCCUCUCCUACUCCCACCCCGGCCCCGCCCUCGCCUUCUUCCGCUGGUCCGGCGCCCGCCACCUCUCCCACCUCCACUCCCCCUACUCCUGGAACCUCCUCGUCGACCUCCUCGGCAAGAACCUCCUCUUCCCCCCCAUGUGGCACGCCCUCCACUCCAUGCACUCCCUCAGCCUCCUCUCCCUCGCCACCUUCGCCUCCGUCUUCUCCUCCCUCGCCUCCGCCUCCGCCUCCCCUCCCGACGCCCCGCUCCAGGCCUUCCUCUCCCUCCCCUCCUUCGGCCUCCCCCGCGACUCCGCCGCCCUCAACUCCCUCCUCUCCGCCCUCUGCCGCGCCGGCCGCGCCGCCGACGCCCGCGCCGCGCUCCCCCGCGCCGCCGCCGCCGCCGCCGGCGCCCGCCCCGACGCCGACUCCUUCGCCAUCCUCCUCGAGGGCUGCGAGGCCGACGCCGAUCCCCGCGCCGCCCGCCAGGUGCUCGACGAAAUGCUCGCCACCCUCGGCUGGGACCCCGCCUGCGCCGCCGCCUUCGACUCCUUCCUCGUCACCCUCCUCGGCGCCGGCCCCUCCCCCGCGGCGGGCCUCGCCGACGCCCUGCAGGCGUUCGACGCGAUGCGGCGGAACGGCUGCUUCCCCGGCAUGAAGUUCUUCCGCGCCGCCAUCCGGUCCUGCGUUGCGGCCCACGACCCCCGCGCGGCCGCCGCGCUGUGGGAUGCCCUGUCGUCGCGGCCCGGGUGCGCGCCCGACACCGCCUUGUACAAUUCGAUGAUCUCGCUCCAGUGCUCCCUCGGCCAGGCCGAAUUGGCCGCCGCCCUCCGCUAUCUCGAUGAAAUGGUCUUUUACGGGGCGUUCCCCGACGCCGAAACCUACGAUCUGUUGCUCCACCACCUGCUCAGGGGCCGCAAGUUGAGCGAAGCCGCCGCCAUUUUCAUGGAGAUGGUGCGGAACGAGCACUGCCCGAGCACGGGCAGCUGCCAAUCUGCAGUUAAGAUUUUUUUGGAUGCGGAGGAUUGGGAGACGGCGGAGAAGGUGUGGAGGUGCAUGGUCGAGAAUGGAUUGAAGCCGGUGGAGGAGAGCGGAAACAUGAUCGUGGAGAGGCUAAGAGGCAGGGGUUUGCUCCCGGAGGCUUGGAAAUUUGCCGAGGAGGUGAUCGACAGUGGCGUCAAGUUGUAUUCCUCGACACUUUCGAAGCUGCGGCACAGCCUCACGAAAGUCGGUAAGGGAAGUAUCCAUGAGUACCUCCUUAUAAAAUGGAAAGCUCAUUAGAAUUACGGUUAUGUUAUUUUGUUUACUUGCGUAUUUGCUUUGAUAUUAUAUCUUUGCAUAGAAAAAGAAUGCUAUUUAUGUGCAGGCUAUGUAACAUUAGAGAUAAAAUCUUCUUAGGUAUAACAUGGUAAAUAGUCGAUAAAGAGGAAUCUGUUUUCCGAGAUCGCUCUUUGCAAAGCUUCUUUCACAUAAAACUUGUUGAAAUUUACUUGUCUGAUUCUUCUCUUCCCUUAUCUUCUUAUGAUUAUGAAUCGUGACUCUUUCUGCGGCAUGGAUCGAUUCUUUUACCUCCGUUAUCAGCAUUUAUUCCAUGAACUUUUAUGAAUCGGUGACGGUAGCGUAGGAAUUACCACAAUUGAUUGAUGACCUGGUUUAAUGAAAACAACUUUCUCUAACCUUUUAUCCUGCAUUUGUGGUAUGAAAAUAGUUAGUUGAGUUUAUCCCCUGUUUUCUCCCAGUUGAAUAGCGCCUAGGGGAUAAAUUUUUUCUAGUCGUGGUCAGGAUAGCACGGCGUGCUUCAAAAAUUCGUCUCAAACAUUAUCGAAGUUACGAAUAUGCAGAAGUUGCGUAUGAUAAAUCAAGGGUGGUUACUGCAUAUUAUGAUUAAGUGUCUCUGCCACAUAGAGUUAAAAGGAUUGUUGAUAAUGUUUUAUGCAAUGUCCUUGUAGAGCUCUUUUCUUGUUUGUUAGGAAAUAUUUAGUAAUAGUGAGAAUGACUACCUUAUUGAAGUAAUUAGUGAUUUUAAACCUACUCAAUGAGAAGCAAUAAAGAACAAAGCUCAAUAUGUUCUGAAACUAGGUUUUACCUCGACUAUUCCAAUAUUAUAUAUUUAUUUGAAGAACUUGAAGACCUUUUAACAAAUAUCUGAAACGGGAAGGCGAAGCUGCCGAAACAGUUGAUACUACUGAAAUGUGUCCUUUUGGCAAAGGACCGAAAUUUAAGGCAAUACCAAGUUUUCUGACUGCCAUAAAGGUCUUUACGUAGUCAACGGAUGGAUGAUGAAAUGCCAUAAUAUGCCUCGGAGAACCUUUAAAGCCAUAGGAGUCAUUGUAGGUCUGUUAGGAGUGCAUAUUUUUUAGCUAGUUUUGUAGUUUAAGUAACCGUUUAUAGACUAUUGCAUAUUCGAUAUUGUAACAACCCGACCCGCUAACAAUAAUAAUUCGUUGGAUCCAAACCACCAGCCAAAAUGCUUAAUCAGUUAUUAUUAUUAGGGUGCGAGGCCUCUUAUAUUCGAAUCAGAAUUCUUUUCUCAUCCAAUGUGGGACUAUUAGGGUGUUGCAAUUAUGCCCAGCAUUUUCCUGAUCAAUGUAGUUUAGGGAUUGAUUGUUAUUCAUGUGAAUGGCAAUAGAGCACCUAAAGCUCCUGUAAUUCUCGCUUUUUACGAAGAGUCAGAUCCCUAAUUAGGCUGAUAAACUAAAUUGGAAACAAAGCUGCUUCUGAAAUAAAAUUUAACUGUCAUCUCUUUUCCAGUGCUCAAGUUUGAUUCGCGUAGGAUUAGAUAUUUAGAUGUUUGUCUUCUCUUGCUGAUACUCUCAAAUAUGAUCUAGCACAUGCUUUGACAAUUUGAGACAAAGGUCGAUUAUCUAGUAAGGUAGUUUUGGUCCUCUUAAUAAGCUUUAUGCACUCAAUGUUGCACUGAAACUUCCUAGUACAACUCGAAUAUUUUUAAGAUAUAGGAGAGUCUUUUGUCAAUACUCCUGUGAGGAUUUGAUUGCUUGAAGCCGAUCUUCAAUUAGCCUACAUCAUAUGCAAAUAAGAAUGAGCUUCCUGCAGUGAAUUCAACUCGACUUCUAUUAUUAUUUACUGCUUCAACAAUGCAUUUAUUUUGGGUAGAUCUUCAAUUAGCCCUUUUGCGGUUUACACAUACUUACAUCGUCGCUGUGUGGUUUGAAAAAAUUUCGGUUUGCUAUUCUGUGGUUUUAACUUUGUUCCACCGUAAUGACCUGUUGUUCAAUAGUGCUGCUAACUAGGGUAGUGAAGUGAAAUGAUGCGUUUUAUAAACUAUUAAGUUGCCAUGUGCAAAUUUUAAGUUGGUAAAAUGCUAGUAUUUUGCCACCACAUGGUUUAUAAAUUGUAUUAUUUUACUGUCCUAUGAUUUGUAAAUUACAGCAUUGUGGUACCCUGCUUAGCAUCAAAUCCUUGCAGUUAUAUAAGAGAAAACACAGGGUAUUAAAAUGAAGCCUUUUUAAGCAUAGUGGCAAAGUAAAAAUAUGCUAAAGCUUGGGUUUGAAAAGAUGUAAAGCUUAUAUAGUUCUAUUUGCGUGGCCCCUGUUGGCUUUGGAGAGUUCAGAAGUCUUUAUUGUUGACACUAUUAUUAGGACUUGAGUUAAAAUGCUAUUAGUAGCAAACGGGCUGUUGUCACUAGACCUGGCAAACAGGCGGGUUGGAUAACCCGCGGGCGGGUUAUUGUACCCACGGAUUACUUGGGCAUGGGUAAAAUUUACCCACAAAUUUUUGGAUAGCCAACAUCAUUACCCAUACAUACCCGUGGGUGGGCGGAUGGGUAUGCGGGUCACCCGCAAUUUUUUUUCUUUUUUUCUGUUAUAUUUUUUAAAUGCAAAAUGCAUAUAUAUAAGUUUUAAAAAUAUAGCAUAACUCAUUAUUUAAAAUAUCAUAACAUACAAUAAAAAUAUUUAAAGUCUUAGAGCUUAAAAAUUUCGUAAUAUAAAAAACGUGAUAAAAAAUUAGAGUUAGAAUUUGUAGGAUGAGUAAAUAAAAAUAUAUAUAUUCUAAUUAAGAAAAUAUAUUUUGUAAUUAAAAAAUAUAUGUGCGGGUACCCGUGGGUACCCGCGGGUUAUCCAAAAUGCCCACAGCUUAAUGGGUACCCACCCGUUUUAUCCGUAAUUUUUUAGGUUGAAAAAGGUGGUACCCAUACCCCCAAAUUUGUGAAUAACCCGCGGGCACCUGCUGGUAUGGGUCGAGAUUGCCAGGUCUAGUUGUCACUCAUUUGUUUUCGAUGAUAGAGCCUCUGAAUUAACGAUUGGUACCUUUUAACAUGAUCUAUACCACUUGAAGUAUCUAAAAACAAAAUUUUAAAUCUUUUUGACAUCAUUAGCCUAAGGAUCAAAGGGUUUUAAAUUUUCUAAUUUUAAUGGUCAAUAUGAAACGUUUUCUCGUUUAACGGCGUAAAGAUAUUCAAAUCAAUUGAAUUUUGAUUUAGAAACUUUUUUAAACUAUUUAGAACAAGAUCUAUACUUUUGAUUUUGAUUACAAGACUCCUAUCAUCACUUUUUAAAGGAUAUUCAUUUUCAGUCGUUCAUUUCUGUGUUCACUUGACGGACAAAAGAACAAUGUCGAAAAAAUAUGAAAUUUGACUUCUAGAUGUUUCAGGUGGUAUAGAUCAUGUUCAACGAUAUCGAUUGUCGAUUUGGAGGCUCCAUCAUAAAAAACAAAUGGGUGGCAAAUGAGCUCAUUUACUACUGAUAUUAUUUCAGCUCAACACCUAAUAAAACAUCGGUGACUUACUGUUAAAUAAUAUAAAAUAAACGUUAUUCUCUCUCUCUCUCUCUCUCUCUCUCUCUCUCUCGUCUAGACUUAGAAGCUUUUUGAUAAUUAGAUGGGAGGAAAUUAAACAUAGCCUAGCAUUACGGUGGAACUUGAAUUUAGAACCUCUUAAUCUAAUAUCAUAUUAAAUAAUGUGAAACAACUAUCAUUUUCUAAAAGCUUAGACUAUCAAAAAAAUAAUAUUUUUAAUAUUUUAUAUUCAACACUCACCUAAUUUUGUAGUUCUAUGUAGGGAGAAAAGAAAAAGAGAAGGUAAUUAAUGGACUUUUUAUGGUAAUUUUUGUGGGAUUCAUGUUAGGCUGAGUUAGCUUUUUCUCCCUUUUUUCUGUGGAUUAAUCAUCUUGUCUCACUUUUUAUUUCGUAGUUCAGCUUUUCUCUCUGUCAUCUUCUUCUUCAUCUUUAUUUUUUCCCUUUUCUUCUUUCUAUUUUGUUGUAUUGCACACAAAUCCUUAUGAAAUCAAAUUUAGCAUACUCUGUGAUGUUUCCAGUAUAUUUUUUUUCAUCAAAAAACUAUAGAGAGAGAGAGAGAGUACUUGAGCUAGGAUGCCAUUUGUAACAUAGAAGUUUUCAUAUUUAUAUGUCAAAUUCGAUAAGUCUAUGCCGGUUCGAUGUUCGUAAUUCCUCUGAUUCGCAGUAUAAUAGAAUUAGAAUAGUAUCAUACGUGGUAUGGUCACUACACAGAAACUAUUUUUUUAUAGCGGAGAAUUAUAUUAUAUGUUACCAUUACACGGAGUAACUUCCUACCUAUGACUAGAUACCAAAAUAUUUCACACACAUUGUAGUUACAGUUAAGAACAGUUGAGAGAAACAGCAAGACUCGGAUUUAAAAGGAGGGAGUGGAGAGGAGGAUUAUGAUCAAAGCAAGCAGCAGGACAAGAUAUUGGACGGCCCACGAUGCCGACGGUCGGACGCCAUCGGAAGCGACACUGCGGCCGUUGAUCGCAGCGGAGUCGACCGCAAGGGGCAUGGCGCCGUUGACACUGGCGACGGUGCAGGUGGUGUGAUCAUCUGCCGUUGUAUCGGUCGCCAGAAGGACACGGAGGACGGAGGUAGCUGCAGGGAGGUACAGACUGCCGUUCUUCUUCGUCAGCAGCCACGUCAACCCCAUGAGCUGGCAGUCCUGUUUGCCGCUGCUGCUGCCGCUGCCACCGCCGGUGCUGCUGCUGCUGCUGCUGCUGCUGGCGCUGCUGUUGCUGCCACUCUUCAGCUGAAAACCGAACACAACCAUAAAAAAAAAGGGUCUGAGAUGAAAAAUCCAAACAUAGGUGGACUUCUCUGCAAAAAUGGCCAUUCGGCGAGCUUAAAUGCAUUACCUGGUUGAGUGCCCGAAGGCAGCGGGAGCACCCGGCGAGCCCCCCCACCCGCGCGCAGUCCCUCUCAAGCCGCCGUGCCUCCGCAUGCGGCGGCGCCCACCGCCUGCCCUCGGUGGCGCCGCAGGUGAGGCGGCGGAGCCGGAAGCCGCAGUAGCACCCGGCGGCGCCGCCGUCACUGCAGCCCUCCUCGGGGCACGUGCCAUUCUCGGCCUGCUGUGGGAGCUCAACCCCGCGGGUGCGGAGGGCGCGGUCGGCGGCGGCGCCGCAGGCCUCGGCGUCUUCGGGCAGGGCCGGCAUGCCGGGCAUGUCGCGGCUCCUGCAAAACAAUCAAUCACUCUAAGAGGGGCCCGUUUGAUUCACUGUUUGUAAUAGUCGUAAAAGGUGUUUAUUGACGCGGCAAAAUCAUUAUAUAUUCCCAACUAGUAGAAAUACUAGAUUAUCAUGAAUUUCGCAAAGCGUGUAAGAACUGUUUUUAGCUACUGCAUUAUCAAACUAGAUGCAAAAGAUUAAUUAGCUACCAUGUGGGGGGCGGGGGGGAGGUCGUCGCGGGGGUGGAGAGGGCAGGCAGAAGAAGAGGUGCGGGACGAGGAGGCAGACUGCUGAUCGGGGAAGGCCGGGAUGGUGGUGGCGGCGGACGAUGGCAGGGCAGGCAGGAGAGGGAGUUGAGAGACAAAGAGGAAGAAAAAGAAGAAGAGGGAAGGCAGCAGUGUGAAGUGAGUCAUCUCUCUCUGUCUCUCUCUUUCUGUUUGUAAUAACACUUUUCAGUCACUUCUGCUUUGCUUUGCUUUUCUUUUGGUUUCUGGGUGCAGACUGCCCUUAUAUACUGUUGCUUAUGGGGAGGGGAGGAGAAAUCAGAAAAGUGAGAGCCAGAAAAAGCAGGGGAGUAGGAUGGUUGUGGAGACCGAGUUGGCUCUAUCUUAUUAUUAUUAUUAUUUAAAAAAUCGAUCUAAUAAAAAACAGACGUAAAAAAAUAAAUAAUAUUUUUUUCGCACACAUGCAUAACUAACGCAGGAGACAAACAUGUGUAAUUAGAUAGGUGAGGUAGGAGAUGAAAAUGAGAUCGAAUUUACGACUUCACAGAACAAAAGGAGUUUAGAAUUAGCUGUGAUGUUAUAUUACCCCACACCGUAUUAUAUAUACAGAGAGAGUCCGGCUAUUAUACUAUUGAUAGUACCAAGCACUUGGUGCUAUCGAAUUUUCUACCAUUAGAUCUAUUCCUUGAAUCAUUUUCAUCUGUUAGAUCAUAUUAUUCAACCAACCUCCACUCAACCCUAGGGGAUCAACUAUCGACCUAAUCACACAUCCUUUCAUUGAAGGACUGAAAAUCUAAUAGCAUCAAACACUCGAUACUAUCGAUCAGACAGAUAAAAGGCAUAUAAAAUUGAUAGAUAAGAUAGAAAAUGGAGAUGCGGUUGGAGAUCGAUGAGGAUCGAGCUCACGACUUUCAGAAUAGAAGGAUUUAGAAUUAGUAGCAAAAAAAAAAAAUCAAAAUAAUACGAAACGGAUUCAGAAAUAUAUAUUAACACGUCUAAAAGAGUGUCCUGCUUAAAUUAAAAAUAAAAAAUAAAAAAAAUAAAAAAACAAAGAAAUCUCAAGGACUGUAUCCCACACGAGAUUCCUGGGGUGAGGCCUACGGACAGCCUAAUAAAAACAAUGUUACUUUCCUUUCAAUCUAUGAUGCCCAAUUUAUGACCAUUUGUUGCAUGUCUCUGGAUAGAUUUUUUAUUUUUAUUUUUUUUUUUUUUUGGGUGUGUGUGUGUGUGUGUGUGUGUGUGUUACCAUCUCACUCUGUUUAGCUAGUAAACAACCAUGCUAAUUUUAAUAUUUCUAUAUAAAUUUUUGAGUCCCAACCUGCAUGAUGCUUCGUAUAGGCGUUGUUUCCGAAUACGGAGUUUAUUUUGAGGCACUUGAAUUCAACUAUGGCAGUUGCAACUGCACGAGGCUGAUCAACUGCAGCAGUUUGAACUACGUUCCAACUGCAGUAUUGGAAAGAGAUUUUUCUCUUUUUUUCUUUCCCGCAUAGGAAGAAAUCUCGACACUCUAAAUGCAGCUUUAGGCACUUUUGACUACACCUGAGCAAAUAAAAUAUAUCAACUGUAUGCAUUUUUAACUAUACUACAUUUACAAUUAUACUGAAACAAAUAGCUCCACAGUAAUUAGACCAAAAAAAAUAAAGGGACCAUUGAUUCCUAAUCUUUCUUUUCCGUCACUAUUAGAUUCCUAAUCUUUAUAUUUUAUUAUUGUCAUAGGCAUAGAGGACGCGAUUGAAGGUGGUGAAAUUGGACUUAACGCAAUAUGCGAGCAAAUGAGAAAGAGGUAGGGACCAAUGUGAGGAAAUAGGUGAAGAUUAGGGACCAAUGGUGUUAUUAAUUCUAAAAGUUAAGGAUUUGAUUGCAAAAAUUAAAAAAUUGGUGACCUAAAUAAAAAUAGGGUAAAGAUUGGAGACCAAUGAUGCAAUUAACCCAAAAAAAAAAAUGAAAUAUAGAAUCUCCUUUGUUAAGGAGCUAGGGCUUCUCUAUUGGGAGAAGGGAUGUCAAUGGUUCGGAUUCGGAGCAGAUUUUUAAAAAUUCGAAUCCAAAUCCGACUACUGUGCCCGAACUCAAAUCCUACAGAUUUUAGAAAUUCUUAUCCAAAUUCGAACCGAUCGAAAAUUCGAAAUUCGGAACUCGAAUCCGAACCCGAAAAUUCGAAUCCGAAACAAUCAUUUCUCUUUACAUAUUUCAAAACAUACUACAUUAAAUAUAAACUUUCAAAAUAUAAAUUCAAAUAUAACAUCAAAAACAUAUAUUAUAUAAUUUAAAAUCAAUUCGGAUUCAAAUUCGGGUUGGGUACAGAAAAAAAUUCAUAUCUCAAUCUAAAUCCGUCGAAUUUUUGUUUUUGAUACCUGUAUCUACAACUGCAUAUGUUUAGUAAUGAAUAAAUCCUUCUUAUUCAAUUUGGAUUCAGAUAAAAUUUCGAGUAUUUAUACACACCAACAUGAGCUCAUCUCUCUCUCUCUCUCUCUCUCUCUCUCUAUCUUUCAUUCCCCUUAGAUUGUACUACAGCAUCUGGGCCCUAUGCCUUUGGAGAGUUAAUGUGUGUGUGUGUGUGUGUGUGUGUGUGUGUGUGUGAGGAGCAUUAAAUUAUGGUCAUAGAAUAAUUGUGAGGGCAUUAAUAUUGUCUCUUAAUUCAAGUAAUUAAUGCAUAUCCAAACCUAGAUGCUGUAAUCUUACUGCAGGUCAUAUACCAGUUCACUGAUACCAACAAUAAUAAUCAUAAUAAUAAAAUGUAGGGCAUGAACUUAAAGCAUCUUAAAAGGGGUUAGGUUAGAUCCAUGCAAUCUUCGAUGAAUCUAAAUCGACAAUUGAUACCGUCAAACAUGAUAUUAUUUGAUAUUAUUUAUCUAUUAUUUAAAUAAUUAACUGAAAGAAUUAACCGAUCACUGCAAAAGUACUAUUAACAAAAUUAUGAAAUUUAGUUUGUAAGAAGUUUAAUUAUUGUAAGUCAUAUUCGACGGUAUUUCCGUUAAGAUAACUCAUCAUAAAAAUCAAGAGUUUUGUACUUCUAAAAUAUUCUAGUUCAACUCUUAGAAAAGAAGUUUGUAAGAAACUAAAGUAUUCUGUUAUGAUAAACGCAUAAACGGAAACAAAAUAGCGAAUACGAAAUACUCAAAACCACAAGCAGAAAUGAAAGAGCACACAGAUUUACGUGAAAAAUCCUUUAUAGGGAAAAAAUCACGGGUGAGGGAGGAGAGAACUUUACUAUCGAAACGAAAGGGAAUACAAUGUUCCUCAGAUUAUAACCAACCACGAUCUCACGCCUCUAAGGCAAAAACGAAAAGAAAACUCAUAACGGGUUUCGGAUUCGAUCCGUACCGCGGGGGGCGGAGCCCCCCGCACCCACUGCCAAAUGUCAGUGGUGGGCUACGGGCUCGGUCCUGUCUGCCCGAGCCCUCCGCUACCCACCACAAACAUUCAUUUUUCCUCCAUAAUUUUUUUUUUCAAUUUGGUCGCACUGCGAAACAGUCGGCAAGUCGAAAAACCCAAACUUGAGUCGAAUAUCAAUUUCGAGUCAAAUCUAACAUAUUCUAAUUCAUAGACAUGGACAUGGAAUACAGAUCACACAUGACUCAAACAAAAUGACUCGGCAGUUUCAAAAAAAAUUAAAACAGGGAUAUGGCAUAGACUCAGCAAAUGACAUAUAGUAUUUUUAAUAUAAAGAUUUAUUUUUAUUAUAUAUAAAAAAAAUAAUUUUGCUAAAAUUUUAUUAUGUUUUUUUGUGAAUGAAAGUUAAUAAAAUAUAGUUCAUAUACUUUAAGUGGAAAAAUUCUCCACCAUACAUAAUUUAUUUAUAUCUAAAAUCCAAAAAUCAUAUAUAUUCAUUUAUCAAAAACUCAAAGUAUUUAUCAUCUUAUAUUUGCAUUUUAAAAAAGUAAAAAAACAAAUGCUCUAUGGACGUGCGUCAAUGGCACAUCUGCAUUGGACACGAGUCCGACACGGGCAAGCAUUUAUCCAGUAUGGAUACAGGAGACAUAUAAACAUGUUCAUGAUCCAUAAAUAGUAUAUCUUAUUUGUCUCAUUCUUGAGCCCAAGAUCCUUUUUUAAGUUGCACAUUUUUUUUUAAAAAAAAAAUGUUCUUUUGAGAGAAAUCUAAUUUGUUCAUUCAUGUUUAUAAGCCUAGUUGGCAUCCGAAGUCUUUUUUCUCUUUUUUUUUUUUUUUUUUUUUUUUUUUUUUAAGAUAGAUAGCACGCUACCUGCUUCGUUUAUUUCACUUAGAAAUGAACUUAGCUGGAAACGUGAAUCAACUAGGAUUCAAAUUUGGGACCUCAGGUAUCAACAACCAAGCCUUUUGCCACUUGAGUUCGAAUCUUAGUUACUUUACAUUUUCAGCUAUAUUGCGAAAAUUUAGCCGAACCUCAGUCGAGGUUAGCCGCUUAUUUGUAUCCAUACAGAAUUUAUCUUAGCUGCAUAUCAUUUUGAGUUAGUUAUCCAAUCCUUAAAAAUUUUAAUUUUAAUAUCCAAUACUUCAAAUUUUUUUGAUCUAAAUCAGCCGACGAUACUUUGACUCCAAAAUUUAAGUUAAUUACUUAAUUUAAUAAUUUUAUAGUUAUAGAAAUUACAGGAAAUAUAAAACUAACUUCGUAAAGAUGAAUAACGCAUUCAAAUUUUGAAUAGAAAUUAAAAUUUUAAAAGAUUGAAUAGCCGAUUCAAAAUAAUUUAUAGUUUGUAGUUCAUAUUACUUCUGUAGUUUUUAUCAAAUAUUUAUUACUGAGAUAAAUUCUUUUUUUUUUCUUUCAUUUCCAAUAAAAGAGCCCCUCAAAUUAAAAAAAAAAAAAAAAAAAAAAAGCAAGAAUAUUCUCAUGCCUCACUCGUUGCACGUGACUCUACGGUCCAUGCUUUGAUUGGAGUGGGAAUAUCUACAACAUAAAUGUUAGGUAAAAAAAUUUACGAAAAACCCCCUCAACUAUGGGAUGUUCUAAAAUCAGACCUUCACCAUAUAAUUUUUUUGCAUUGACAUCCUUUUAGCUUUUAGUAGUUUCCAUUCAAAUUAUUUUUCUUGUUUAUUGCUACCAAAAGAUUGAUAAACAAUAUACAAGCUAAAAAAAUAAGUAAUAUAAGAAUUACACUGAAACAACUUAAAAUAUAUAGAAUUUAAGACUAACUCUGAUAUCAUAUUAUUCAAAGUAUCGAUUAAACAAAAAAAAAAGCUUAGAAAUAGUUUCAACAGCUAUCGCUUUUAUCCUCUAACAAAGUCCCCCAUUCAGUUAGCUAAAAAGGUGUUCAAAACAGCUAAAUUUAAUAUAAUUAAAAGUUACCGGGACGUCAAUGAAUAUAUUGCGUAUAUAGUGUCUCCAUUUCGAAAUAGAGUAUAAUUGAGGGGUUUUUUCUUGUAAAUUUUCACCUACUUGUGCCCUUUGUAGUCCUCUUCCCUGGCUUGGUCUCUUUUGUUGGUGCCCAUUUCACAGCUCAAUAAAUUGUUGGCAUGCACAGUAAGAGUCCAUGGAUUGUAGUGGGCACAAAUGUUUGAUAAGGACCCAUGCAAUUUUAGCUUGGGUAAAUUUUAUUCAUGGGGAAAAAAAAAUUGUAUUAAAUCAUCAAUUUCUAGCUCCUUGUUGACUUUUCUGGGCGCAUUUUUACGCUAGUAAACUGAAACGCAAGUGAAGGCUUUGUUCAGAAUUGUAGGUAGAAUUGUUAUAUAUGAUGAGCAAAGCGUGAUUAAAAAAAAAAAAAACUUUGUUUGUUUUAAUAUGUAAUAACACGUUACAUAGAUUGAGAUUGUAUUGAUUCAACUUAAGAUAUGAUUUUUGCAAUUUUACUGGAUGUACAUUUCUGUAUGCUUUUCCUUUAAAUCUUUAAAGCAAUAGUAUUAGACAGCAUUCGACACCAAACGGGUUUAAGGAAAUCUCCCGUAUAUGUUGUUAAUAUGGAGAUUAGCCGAGAAGUUUUAUCUUUGCUCAGAGAGACGAGAAUGGGGAUGGUAUAUUUUGAAGAGAUAGCCCGCAGAAAGUAGAAAUAAAAUAGAGGGCAGAUAAAUAUGCAAUUCACGAGUGACAAAGUCCAUGUUGCAUGUGAGAUGUGACAAUUUUGUAGACAUGGGUAUGCUAAAGAAAGAGAUCCAACAUCUAAAAAGAAAACAAAAGAGGCAAUGAAUGCUUUGAAUGGAAGAAGCUAAAUCACAACUUGAAACUCAGCUGGAAGGACAGGUAAGGCAUUUGUUGGCAGAUAGGCCAGCAUCCAAAAUGGCCAAAUCACAAUAAAGACCCAUUGCUGAUGCUAUGUUUGUAGCUCUAAAUAAAUUGAUCAUCCCAUUUCUUACAGCUCAAGGUUUUGGAAUCAUGUUUCUUACAAAUUCACUCUUUCAAUACAUGUAAUAAACAAUGCCUUAGAAGUAGAAGAUUCAAACCAGAGAGUCUAUUAACCACGUACGCUUUAGCCGAACACACUCAGAUUUCUAAUUUGUUAAACAUUUAACUUCCACUUCUGAGUAGAUCAGUUGUUCAAAAGCCAAGUAGAUGGUAACAAUUUCAAGAUAUAACUGAACAGCAACGAAAUUUCAAGUUCUUCGAUAUUUUCUAAAAAUUUCCUCAAUUUGUAGAACUACUCACGAAAACAGUUUGGAUUUUUUUCUCCCUAAAGAAAUACAUGGCAGACGGCGAAGUUAUCACAUAUUACAAUGGAGAGUAAGUUCAACAGAAAAAAGAGCAAAUAAUCCUUUAUAUGAAACAAUAAUCCAUCGGCGAAGUGUUGAAACCCACGAAGGGACUGAUAAUUAAGUUACAACAAGGAGAACAGAGUUUACAACUGCUGUAAUGGUUCGACGACAGUGUAGGUUUGGGAGUAUAAAUAACAAAAAUCAGAGAGACUUGUAUGAAAGAGGAUCAAAGAUCAUCAACAGCUAUGACAAUCUUCUGUUUGAGCAUCCCACUAAAAUUACAACAGAAACAACCGACGAGAGUGAAAUCAAAGCUCUAAGUGUCCAUCGCGGUUAAACAAGUAAUCUGAUGGUAUGAUUUCGUUACAUCACAUAGCUUCAUGCCUAUAAUUCAGCCACCUUAUCUGACAACCCAUCAACCGCCUCAUCUGCGUGCUCAUCGGCUGAAUUUUGCUGUAAUAGGUAAGAAGAAACUCGGUAAAUCUGUCAAAUACUUGUAGAUAAGAUAGGCAGAGAUAAAUUUCUGCCGUAAUAUAAAGCUGAUAUAAGAGGGUAUUUUGCGUAACAAGAAACAACCAUGUAAAUUUUGUUCAUUGUUUUUGUUGUUUAUAUUGUAGAUUCCGGAUUCAAAUAAACCCAAGGAUAUAUGUUUCUGCGCAGUUACCUCUGUAUCACUUUUCCCAUUAACAGCUACACACUUGGAAGCACUUAUGCUCUCACUCUUCAGGAAGCUCCGGGGUGUAUAGUUCGACAAGCUCUCGCCAUUCUCAACAGUGGUAGCAUGCUCGUUACCCUCGCCCUGUAGCACCACCCUCGAAGGGCUUUCGAGGGCAGAUCGAGCAACUGAAGCUGUGUUUCUCUUCUCAUAAUCAUUAUUCUGAUCAGCGGCUUCCUUUUUCGGUGUGCAAACUCUUUCCCUGUAGCAGGGUAAUAUAACAUGAGAAGUGUUUCAUUGAAUAACUUCGACAAUGAGAAAGAAGUUCUGAUUUGCUGGUGAAUCACGGAGCAAAGAACUAACAACAAGUUAUAGAGACGGGCUUUUGCAAGAAUUGUCCAUUUUCUGACUUUUCCACUCUGAUCAACUAUUUUUGUUUUUUGCAUUUUUGGAUCGAAAUCUUCCUGUAAGGACUAAAUAUUCCUACGUCAGAGCUUUUGGCCAGCGGCAUUUUGGCCCAUUAAAGUUUCUAGCCGAAGUGGCAAAAGAAAAGUGCAUUUGUUUGCCAUUCUAAUUCUUGCCACAAAAAUAAAAACUCCAGAUCUUUCAUUUGCUAGAACACCUGUGGCAAUUGCUUCUUGAAGUGGAGAAGUCGUACGAACCAUACAUGAAAGGACUAAGACCAGGUUUUAAAAAUAUAUAUAUAUAUCCGGCCAGUUUAAUACCUUGGCAAAGAGGCAUACUUUCGCUGGAGUGGAGUACUUCUUUCACCUGUGCCAGAGUGCUCUUCAAGAUGCGCAAAUUGCCGCUUAAAACGGUCAACCCCACUGCCAUCAGAUAAUUGCAUUAGAUAUCUGCUGCAACUGGACAUCCUUUCUUUUUUACACACUUUUGCAGGUAAAGCAUUAUCAGAUUAAAAUUUACAAACCUAACUAAUUGACUAGGACCUCACUUUUUCACAAACUAUAUUCUUGCGAAAUCAACUAAUUAUUUGUAUAUUUUCAAGGCAUUAUUAUUCAAUUGGCAGAUAGAGCUACAAUUAGGAGACCAGAAAUAACUUAACUCAAUUUAACUUAAUGUUGAAUCAUAAAAACCCACUAAUUAUUUUCUAGCAGCAGCAUGACCAUGCUGGCUUUGUUCGUACAAAAAUACCCGCCGUUGCAAUUUGGCCCAGAAAGUCCAAUUUAAUGUAAACAAUUCACUAAUUAUCUAAUGUCAUGAAGUUUGAUUUAAUGGAAAUAAUGACUUACGCCUAUAAAGCUUAAUUUGGUGUAAAAAGCCUCACCAACAAGUGAUUUAUUAAUAUAAUUAUAGGCUAAAUUGCAUGUUUGAUCCUCAAACCAUCAGUCGGGUGACAUUUUGGUCCUCAGACUUUAAUUUGUUGCAAUAUUUGGCUCGAACGUUCAGAGUUGCUGCAAUCAGAUCCUAUAACUCAAUUUAGUUGACUAAAUAUUGAUGAAUCACUAAAGUAAAAGUGAGGUUGUAGUGUUGUGAUUGAUGACACGACAAUAAUUAAGAUGUCACAUUACUUUCACAUCAGCGAUGUGUUAAUAUUUAGUGAAUUUAAUUAGUUUGUGGAACUUGAUUACAACAAUUCUGAGAAACGAGCCUAAAAUUGCAAUAAAUUAAAUUUUGAGGACCAGUAUGUCACCCAAUUGAUAGUUUGAGGGUGCAAUUUGCCCUAUAUUUAUAUUAGAAAUUUUUUUUAUCACAAAAUUAUGUUCUGUGGAUCAAAUUGAAAUAGGAAAAAAGCUGGUAGCUUUUUCAGCUCCAAUUAAAGCUGGAAGGUCAAAUUGCAGCUUUAGUUGAGUUUUUAUGACUUUAACCCUUUAAAUUAUCCAUGAUUACUGAUAUCUGAAGAACGAAAGGAGGCAAUAUAUUUGUCCCACCUGGGAUACAUGAAGCUGGUCUGGUCCCCACCACGAAGAUACUCCUGAAGCAUCUGGGGAUGAUACUCUAAAAUCUGUUUGCUUUUAAGAAAAAUUACAUAAUAAAUGUGAAAUUGCAUAUCAAUCAUUAAAGUAAAUCGAACAUAGAAAAAAGGCCAACUUUAUCUUACCUCUCGAUAUAUCGAUUCCCUAACAUCAUCUUUUGUCAAUUUCUUUCUUUCAAACUCAAACUCAAGUUUCGAAAUAGGUUGCGUUGAUGGCUCGCGAUCUAAACUAGCAAGCCCUCCGAAAUAUGGGUCAGCUAAAGCCUGAAAGAGACAUAAAAUAAAGAAAACCAGCAUCAGCGGAGAAAUUUGAAAACCCAAUGUCAUUGUAGGUGCUUAUCUCUCACAUUAUUGAGAGCCUCCUUGGCCUGACUUUUGGAAUAGCUUCUCAAAAGUCAUGAGCUUUGGACGUGGAGGUAAGCCAAAAUAAGCCUCUAGGCCACAAAAGAAAAAGGCCAUACAUCUGCAGUUGGCGGGAUUUUAGUGAAGCUGUUGGCACUUUUUCAAACAAGUCGACUCCAAAGCACUUUUGGCUUCCAUCAAAGCUUUGUCCAGGCCAAAUAGGUCAUUGAUAAAUUAAGCAAUAGCAAUCACACUUGUUUAGUUCUACCUGCUCAGCACUAGGCCGAUAUUUUGGAUCAAAUGCAAGUAGCUGCUCAAGUAACCGGAGAGCCGGUGGAUCAACAUGAGGGAACUUGUGCGAGAAAGGAACAGGAGGUUUCUUCCUCAUGCUGCUCAAAUAUCUUCUAGCCUUUUCAUUUCGAAUCUACAUAUUUCGAAGGUUAAAGAAAGUAAGACAAUGGGUGAUGAGAACUUCACAUGAAUUACAAAUGCAUAAAAAGAUGGCAUUGAAAUUGUAUAAAAAAUGAAGCAGACUUGGAUGCAUCGUCAAAAUUUAGUCUCCAACACAUGCAACUUUCCAUGUGAACUUUCAAAAAACAUUAAAGAAACAAGGUUUACCGCACAAAGUUAAAUACAUUAUCUGAAACAAAGAUCAGAAUUAUGCUUGUUUUUACCAGAAACAUAAAGUUUACCUCUAAAGUUCAUAAAAUUAUCUAGCAGCCUUUUAGGGAGUAGAGAGGGAAAGAAACACGUAAGAGUUGCAAAGAGAACAAAAGGAAGAAUAGAAGGUGACUUAGUUGACGCGUAAAGCUAAGAGAUUAGAUUGAAGAAAAGUGUUAUUUUAUAAGAUCUUGAAGGAUAACUAAGCUUGAUACUUAGAUAGAAAUUAUAAGGUCUUUAUGGUCAUGGAUUGCGAAUAAUUAUACCUCAUUGACCUUUGUAAGACUUUCAUAGCACAGCAAUUUCAUGCCAUUGAUUAGCUUCCAUAAUGAAAUUAUGAAGAUAAAGACAAUAAAAAGGAAAUGAAGGAAAUUGCCUACUUACCCAUAAAACCAACAUGAUCGCCAUAGGAUUUAGUCAAAAAAGAAGCACUUACAAUUGAUUUAAUGAUCAUAUACAUCUUAAUUUCGACUGAAUAUCUUGACCAUAAGAUUACUUAUCCUACAUGGGCCAGACAAAGUAGACUCGAAAGGAAUUUGUUUGGAAUAUGAAAUGAAGUAAGAUGUUAUAGAGACUUUUAUGAUAAGGGCCAAGAAACUACCAAAGAAUAAAAUUCAAGGGAAGUUAACGGUAACUUGAGAUAAAUGGAAGUUAUCAUGUCAUCUAAGCAAUUAGGACCUGCUUGCGUCCCUUACAGGUAUAGUGUUAUUCAAUGUAGUGUUGUUUGAGUAGCACUAAUAGAGAAGAGCCACUAUAUCAAAAUCCUCCCAACAGCUUCUACCUCGGCAGAACAAGAAGCACCAAACUGGAACAUCUGCUUUUGUGACUUAGAAUCUCAUUUCAGCUUCCGCUAGUCAAGAAACUCCAGCUUCAGCUGAAAGUAGAAGCCGAAGUGGGGCUAAACAUGCACUUAGUAGAAAAAAUAAAAAAUAUUUGAACUACUAAAACAGAAUAGAUACAAACUACAUUACAAGUACAAUCAUGGAAAAUGAUAGAUUUUAAUUUAACAUCAGCUUACGCUAAAAAUAAAUGGAUAAACAGAGAAAACAAACCCUUGAUAUGGUUUCAAAUGACGGAGUUCCAAGGAGAUCAGUCAUCAAGUCCAAUUGAUGGACGACGUUCUUCCCGGGAAAUAGCGGUUUGCCAGUUAGCAUCUCGGCAAAUAUGCAUCCUAUGCUCCAUAUGUCAAUUGCAGGGGUAUACUGUAAAAAUAAAACUAUUCAUGGGUCAAAAUGCAAAAACUUUUUGAGUAGAAGUAUACAGCAGACUUAGUCAUAAUAUCCUAUAUAAAUGAAAUGUAGCGACUGUAUGUUUAUAGUCAUCUAAUGGAUGCAAAAUCCAGCAUGAAAAUUAAUCAAGACAAAGAAAACGUUAACAAAAUCCCUCACUUAACAGGGAGAUAUUUUGUGGCCUCUUUUUGCCCAGCAAUAUAAUCCAAAUUUCCAUAAUCCAUAUAUAAGCUCAUAAUCCACAGAAAAAAGGGCCAUAUGAGUUAUCUUACUUUGGAGAAGAAGGAGCCACAUAAUUCAGGGGCUCGGUACCACCUCGUUGCCACAUAAUCCUUCACAAGGAAGUAAAGAAAAACACAAUUAACAAAGAAACAAAUAAUUAAAGCACGUGAAAACCACCUGCAAUGCACAAAGUGAAGCAGAAUUAAUUAGAAAACUAAUAGUAUAAUAUAAAGAGCAACAUACAGUCCAAAAAAUAGCUGACGGAGCAUCAUUAAAUGCCACACGGGCAAGCCCAAAAUCACAGAUCUUCAGUUUGCAAUCCGCAUUGGCUAGUAUAUUCUUGGGCUUCAGAUCUCGAUGAAACACAUUAGCUGCAAGAAAUUAGGAAAUAACCGCAAAGUUUUAAUAGAACAGAGAAUCAAAAUGGAUAUGGGCCUGUUCACCCCAAAUGAAGCUUUUGUAUAUGUGUUGUUUGAGUAGAGCCGCUGAACGAUAAAUUAAGAACAUUUUGCUGGAGUAACCCAGCAAGUUCCCACUGCAACAAAAGCACAAGCUACCAAUUCGAGCUUCUGCUUUGGGGUCUACGAGCUCUCCCUUUAGUUACCUGCUAUAGCAAAAGCUCAAGAAUAUUUGUUUUGCCAAGCACCUGACACACAUUCUUAGAAUAGACAAGCUGCUUAGAAAGAUAGGUCAAACAGGCACUAUAUCAUCCAACAUGAACCAUUGAUUAACCUGUAUGGAUGUACUUUAAGCCCCGAAGAAGUUGGUAUAGAAAAAACUGGUAAUGCUCGUGGGUAAGAUCGUCAUUUGCCUUGAUCACUUGAUGAAGAUCUGAUUCCAUUAGCUCGAAAACCACGUAUAUAUCCUUGAAUUCUCUUCGAGAAGGAGGAAGCAUAAUAUGCUUUAUCUCCACUACAUCAGGGUGACGAAGGAGGCGGAGGAGCUUGAUCUCUCUUAAUAUGCGGGUGGCAUCAGAAACAUGUUCGAAGACAUCAUUGAUCUUCUUAAUCGCAACUCUCUCCCCCGUGUGGGUGUCAACUGCAGCACCCACCACCCCAUAGCUUCCCUUCCCGAUGACCUCUUGGAUUUGGUACCGGCUUGCUUCGCCAUACUCCGUGAAGAACUCCGAGUCAAGCAUGCUCUGAAAAGAUGACAAUGGAGGUGUGGAAUUGUCAAAAUAUAUAAUGUUUCCGCACGCCAGAUGAUUUGAAUUAAUGAAAAUAUAGGCCUAUUUGGCUCCGCUGUAGAGUGUAAUGCUAUUAUUGCUUUUCUCUGUAGCACAAGCUCCAGUUCAGAGCUUUUUCUUUUCAGAGCCCCAAAAUCGCAUUUUGGGUUCCCAUAACAGCACACAACCUAAAUUUCUUGUUUGAGAACACAUUACUGGAGGAGCUGCGGCUGAAAGCAUAAGCAGAUGACACACGAAAUGGGCACCAAUCAAUGAUUAAGUGAAGUGAGAAGAGUAGAUCUGAUUACUCAAGCGACGUAAUUUGAGCAUUCGCUUAUCGAGGCACGGAACUCAAAUGCUAUAACAUUACUAUGCGGUGGCAGAUUUAAAUUAUGAGUAGAACUACUGAAAGCUAUAAAAUUUCCAUAAUCAGCCAAAUUUAAUCAAUACAAAGUAAACCUCUGUUUAGAAACAUGAAGAGAAGCAUCUACAAUGAUUGAAUGGACAACAGAAGAGUAAAUUAAACACUCCUUAAUCAUCUACAAUGAUUGAAUGGACACCAGAAGAGUAAAUUAAACACUUACUAAUCAAGGCUUUCACAAAUUCGAGAAAUAAUACGCAGAUUUUGACCUACAUCGCAAUCUAUCGCAUGUCGACUAUUCCAAACAGUUCCCAAAAAAGAUCAAAUUUUGGAUCUACGCCAUAAAAGGAUUGGAAUUGAAUUGAAUUGAAUUGAAUACAUGGAUCUAACAAAAGGAGAAAGCCCCCACUUUGAAAACCCUCACCUCCUCCUCCUCCGCCUCGGAAUUCCCUAAUUCAGAUGCCCAAUGAAAGAAGCACAAAUAUGAAUUGAUUGAUACCCUUUUGACAAUAACAGGAGAGAAAAGAGAACCGGAUCCCAACUCAUCCAUUUAAAAAAUACGAUUAAUUCAAAAAGAAAAAGGGAAAGGUCGAUCACGUUUUAAAAAAGAAAAUUACAAAUUUAGACGGCGUCAACACGAACCAAAAACCCCCCAAUAAGGCGAAAAAGUUGGAUAAGGACAUGAGAGCUAGGUCAAAGACAAUAAAGGUGGGAUUUUUAGGGUUCGAUCGGAGGGGAUAUACGAUAUACCUUCUUGUGGGGGUCGAUCGGGGCCAUCUUUCGCUUGGGGACGCGGAUGAUCCUGAGGCCGAUGAGAUCCAAGUCCUCGACUACCUCGAUCUCGCCCUCGCCCUCGCUCUCCGCCGGCGCUGCGUCUCCGUCGUCGUCGACGCCGGCGAGGGCAGCGGGGUCGCGAUCGGAGCUCAGUGACGAGGCGUAGGAGGCGGCGGCGCGGGGGUUCUGGGAGCGGCGUUGGAACCAGCGGCGCAACCCGUCCACGAGAGCCCCUCCCCCCAUAUAACGGCGGCUGCCGCGGCGGCGGCGGUGCUGCGGCGGAGUCUCCUCCGGCAGGGCGAUCGCAGCAUUGGCUUAGGCCUCCUCCUCCUCCUCCUCCUCCUCGGCCACCUCCUCUCUCUCUCUGUCUCUCUCGAUCUCUCUCGAUCUCUCGAGAAGAGGGAGAAGGGUUGAGGGAGUGGGAGUUCGCUCGAGCACUCGUGGGCUGGGCACAGUGGCUUUGUAUAUAUAUUAUUAUUUAUUUAUAUAUAUAUAUAUAUAUAUUAUAUCAUAAUUUACCAAAAAAUAUAAUUUAUUUAUUUAAUAUUAUAUUUAAAAAAUGACCCAAUUAUUGUAUAUAUAUAUAUAGUUGAGCUAGAAUACUCUUAAAAGCACCAAUAUAUAUAGAGUUGAGCUAGAAUACUCUUAAAAGCACCAAUAUAUAUAGAGUUGAGCUAGAAUACUCUUAAAAGCACCAAUAUAUAUAGAGUUGAGCUAGAAUACUCUUAAAAGCACCAAUAUAUAUAGAGUUGAGCUAGAAUACUCUUAAAAGCACCAAUAUAUAUAGAGUUGAGCUAGAAUACUCUUAAAAGCACAAAUGAGGUGGUACUUUUAAGUUUUUAACCAUUGGAUGGAGGAAUGUAAGGUUGUGAUGAUAGUGAUAGGUGGUGGUAGGUGGAAUAGUGUUUGAUCCAAGGGCUAUUAGUAAUGAAGUAGUAGAUCCAAGGGCUAGAAACCUAAAAACACCAAUGGGGUGAUAUUUUUAAAAAUAUUCUAGCUAAAUAUAUAUAUAUAUAUAUAUAGUUAGAUAUUUUUAUUAAAAUAAUAUGGCCAAUUUGCAUAAAAAAUCCAUAUGUUUUAAACUUUUGUAAACUGGGCCGCAUUUUUCGAUUUUACAGAUUUGAUCCGAAUAUUUAACAAAUUGACCAAAAUAUUCUUAUACUUUUUUUUCUCUCUCUCGCNCCCCCCGCCUCUACCCCUGACGCUCACGCCCUCGCACUCGCCUGCGGACACCCCGCCAUUUUCUCCUCCGAUUCCGCCGAGGCCGCGUUGCGACCCUCUUUUUUUUCUCCCUUUCCAACCCUCCUCCACCCGCAGUCCCCACCGCCGCCGCCGGCAACAAAGAGGAAGUGCUUCUCGGGGCUCAAAAGCACGCCGACGUGGAAGUGAAAGAAAAAUAGUUACACUCCGGCGAGGGCGAUAGUUGCAAUAGAGGACAAGGGAGAGGCCAGUGACCAAAAAAUAAUAAUAAAGAAAAAAAUAAGAAUAAUAAAAAAUAAAAAUAAAAAAUAUUUUUUUCUACAAAAAAAAGACUAAAAAUCAUAGAAAAAGAAAGAAAAAAAAAUAAAAUUGUACUGUUAAAAUAAAGUUACAUUAUUUUUAAAAAAUUUUACACUAUUUUAGAUGAAAGUUGUACUCUUUGAAAUAGAAAUUAUAUUAUUUGGGAUGAAAGUUACACUUUUUAGGCGAAAGUUGUACUAUUUGGAUAAAAUUUAUACAAUUUCUUAUUAUCUUCUUCUUCUUCCUCCUUCCUUUCUGUUUUCUCGUCCUCCUCCACGCUCUCCGCCGCCGUCGCCGUCCCCUUCUCUGCCGGCGCUCGCGCCGAGGCGGGCAUUGAGGUUGCAGGAUAAAGCAUAGGCGCCAAGGUUAUUGACGAUUACCAUCCACACAUAGGGCUUGUUUGGUUCAAGGAUAGAAUUUGAAUGGAUAAUGGAAUGAGAAUGAAUUGGAAUGGUAAUUGAAAUGACCCACUCCCCCAAGACGUUUGGUUUAUUUGUGGAUUGGGAAAUUAGAAUAAGUUAUUCACAUUUCAUUGUUUGGUUCGUAUAAACUAAAAAAAUUAUAGGAUACUAUAAUACUAAUUUUACUCUCAAAUAUAAAUUUAUAUUAUUUAAAAUUUAUGAAAAAUAUAAUACUAUUCUCUAAUAAGUUUUCCAAAAAAAUUAUCAAAUUUAUUUUUAAAAACCUUUAUUGAUGUGGAUUAGGGAUAGGGUUUUGAGAGAGGAUAUAUUUUUUUUUUUUUGAUGAGAAAGGGGUGAAGAGAAGAAGGGUGAAAUGGUCACAUGGGCUUCGAGAACUUAGUGGGCUUCCGAAAUGAAAUCUCAAUCCGGGCUAGAAGACCGGAAUCAAGUUGAAGGCUAAUGGGCUAUUCUCAUUCGAGUCCGGAAUAGGAAUCCCAAACCGAUUCAUGCGAACCAAACAAAAUUAACCGGAUUUGAUCAAACCGAUUCUCAUUUCAUACCCAAAAUAGAUGAACCAAACAAACCCAUAGUUUCAUGUUAAUAGAACCCCUUUUGUUUGAUAUGUAUGAUGACUUGUCACUAUGGCCAUGCAGGAGAGUUUCUGCUUCUGCAAAGGCAAAGGUUGCAUCUUUGAUCCCGAGAGCGAGAGGAGAUCUAUUCAAUUCCACAUGACAGCACCUUUUCCAUCUCUUAUGACCCCUCAUCUUGAUGUCAUUUGAUAAGAGGAAAUUGCCAAAAGAUUGAGAUAGAUAUGUUUGAAUGAAAUCAGACCUCGUCAUGUUCAUCCUUAUCCCCUAACAAAAAUGAAAUCUGUUUUAUUUUAUUAAUUUUUUCAAUCACCUUCACGAAGGAGGUGGACUUCAACCAAGCCAGCCCCUAUUAUGAAGUGGCUAUGAAUAUUAACGCCCGCCUCGGCGCUGGCACCGGUGCAUAAGGGGGGCGGCGGCGGCACGAGGGGCGCUUGACGGCGGCGAUGGCGGAGAAGGUGACGAGAAAACGAAAGGGAAGGAGGAGGUGGAAGAAGAAAAGAAUAAGAAAUAAUAUAAAUUUCAUCCAAUAGUAUAAUUUUUACUUAAAAAGUAUAACUUUUAUUUCAAAGAGUAUAAUUUCUGUUUUAAAUAGUGAAACUUUUAUAUAAAAUAGUGCAAAAACUUUUUAAAACAGUAUAACUUUAUUUUAACAGUAUAAUUUUAUCUUAUUCUUCCUUGUUUGCGCCUCUGCCUCCACCUACUUCUCCGGCGAGAAAAAAAAAUGCGAGAAAAAGAAAAGAAGAGAGAAAAAAGUAUAAGGGUAUUUUGGUCAGUUUGUUAAAAAUUCGGACUAAAUCUGUAAAAUUGAAAAAGGUUGCCCAGUUUUGCAAAAACUCAAAACUUAUGAAUUUUUUAUGCAAAUUGGCCAAAUAAUAUAUUUGGGAAAAUUACACUUUGGUUCUCCAAACUUUACAAUGUGUGACAAUUUAGCCCUAAAAUGUUAUUUUAUUACGAUUUGUUUGUUUUGCUCCUCUUUACGAAAUUAGAAAUUAUGAGUUAUCACGUUUAUUUUAAAGGCUCAAAAGUUCCCAUGAUUCCACCAAAGCUAAGAGUAUGUAUUUUCAGUAUACGUCUCCUAUAUUUUUGAAAAUACAGAGAUCUCCGUACUUGUAAGUUAUUUUCGAUGACAUGACAUCUAAUUUGACGAUUAGCUUCGUUAGACAUAAUCUACGCUAUUGGAACUAUCUAAAAGCCAAAUUUUAUAAUUUUUUGACAUUAUUUACCAUGUGAUCCAAAGGUCCAAAGAAUGACUAUUUUAACGAACGAUGUGACACGUUUUUAAGUUCAACGGUACAGAACAAUUCAAGUUACAUAAAAUUUUAAUAAAAAUUUUUACUUAAUAUCAAUAGUAAGAUUAAUGCUUCUGAUUUAAAUUUGAGUCUUUUAUCACUAUUUUUAAUGAAAUUUUUAUUUUUAGUUGUUCAUCUUUAGGCUACUUGUUCACUAGCCAAAUAAAAUCAAAAAAUUAUGAAAUUUAGUUUCUAGAUAGUUCCAAUAGCAUAGAUCAUGUCUAAUCAUACUGAUCAUCAAAUCGAAUGUCUUAUCAUCGAAAACAACUUACAAAUACAGAAAUUUUCGUACUUUUUGAAAGCAUAUGAGCCUAUCUUCUAUUUUUAUUUGUUAAACUCUUGAGUUUAGUUUUAACUCUUCCGUAUUAGGGAAAAUUAAAUAUUAUUAAAUUUCAAAGGAGAUAAAAUAAAAAAGGUCCGGCUAUGGUACUUCUAAUAACACCAAGCAUUCAGUGGAACCAACUUUUCCACAAUUAGAUUACUCCUUUGACUAUAUCAUACACUCGAAUCAUACUUUUAACUAACCACCACUAAACCCUAUCCUAACAUCCAAAGAUUAAAAGUUCACAAGUAUCAUUGGUGCUAUUAGAAACAUUCAAGCCAAGUUCAAAUAAACAUACGGUUAAUUACGUAACAAAAUCAAAAUUUUAAAGCUUCGCGUGCGCGGGUGGUAAGGUACUUUAGUAAGUUGCCUUCUAUUGCAAGUUAAUUUUAUCUUAAAUGGCACGUAAAUAAGCUAUAGUCUAACAAAUUAUGCCGUUCAGAAAACCCCAACCUCAAAUUAAUCCCAACUCUUAAGGGCCUAUUUAUUUAACCAGAAAUGAAGUUCAACUUGAAGUAAACUUUCGAAUGAACUAGAGUUAUAUUUUCGUUGUUUAUUUGUAUAGUUGUUAUUUAUUUGGUAGAUGAGAGAUGAAUUAAUAUUUUAUUUAUUUUUUUUUACUUUUGGGGGGGUAACUGAUUCUCAACUAUAGUAUUUUAAAAAUUUAGAAUUUUUAUUUAAAGAUAAAAUUACAGUGAACUAAAUAAUAGAAAUAAAUAUCUAUGAUCAAAAAUUAAUUUGUCAUUUAUUUACUUUCGGUAAAACAAACACACGGCAAAUCGAACUUGAAUACCUCACAAAUAGAGCUAAAGUGAUUUGAUGUUUAUUUCAAAACACAAACAAAAGAAUAUGGCACACUAAAUAAAGGACAAAACUUAUGUACCAAGUUAGUGAGUGAGGGACAACUCAAAGCUUUGGAAGCAUUAAGAUUAGUAAAAAUAGUAUAUUGUAAAGCUUACAUCAUGAUUUGGUUUCACAAUUAUGAUGUGUAACUAAUCUAUUGAAAAUAUCACCCACAAAAUAAGGAGAGUAUGAAUAAAAAUAUGAGAUGAUUGGAUGGUUGAGUGGCAAAUUGGAAACCAAAGGCAUUUAAUAAAACUGUAAUAUUUAUGUUUAUAAUUAUAAUAAUAAUAAUAAUAAUAAUAAUGAGGGUGGGUGGGGGACAGUGGAAAGUUAGAUGUGUGGAUAAAUGGUUCUCAAUAUCAUAUAUUUUUAAUUUUCAUGUUAACAAUAAGGUAGGAUGGGAGAGAGGAGAAAUAAUUAUUUUAAAUUAAGUGUUUAUAGUGUACUAGCAUAGUAAUUUGUUCGAUACAAUAGAUAGAUAAUUUGAAUACAAAUAAAAAACUACAACAAAGAAAGAGGAAAUAGCGAUGAAAGAAGGGACGAUAAAGGGUGAGAUUAAUCAUGCUGAUAACAGCCGAAAGAAGUGGAAGAGAAACAGCUCAAUCCAAUGAAGAGGUGUGACUCAUUUCGGUUCAAACAAAAAAAGAAAAAAAAUUGGUUUGAUUCAAACAAAGAAAAGAAAAAAAAUGAUUUGAUUCAAGCAAAGAAAAGAAAAAAUAUGUAAAGGACUUGAGUCGGUUCGAAAGAGCCCACAUUGAAUAAUGAAUAGUUUGGUUCAAAUACGAUUCGAUUCAAGCCAAAAAAAGAAAAAUAUGUAGAGAACUUAAGUCUGUUUAAUAUGGAGCUCACACAUAACAGUAAAGAAAAUAUUGCUAUGUGACAAAUUUAGAAAGAAUAAUGUACGUAUAGAUAUAGAUAUAGAUAAAUAGGUAUAAGAUAAAUAAAAAUAAAUAUUUUUAAAAUAUUAGUUUAAUACUAAAUUAUAAUUUUGUACUUGAUUAAACUCUUUACUAUUACACAUGUUAUAAUAGUAUUAGUUUGAGACAUAUAUUUUAUGCAACAUAAUUAUCACAAAAAAGAUUUAAGGAUCAAUUACAAUUUGGGUAAGUAUGUGUUAGAGACUCAAUUGAAAACCUAAGUAGUAGGUUAGGGACACUUAUGCACAGUAAUGUAUUUAUUGCAGAUCCUUAUAUGAAUUUUAUUAUGCCUACACACAGUUGCAUAAAGUUAUGAAUCAUAAAAUUCAAAAGGUGAAAAAAAAUGUGCGUGCGUAAUUCGAAAGUCAUAGGAUUCUUGUUAUAACUUUUUUCUACAACCCAAAUUUCAAGGCUAGCGAUGAAAAUGGAUUCAGAUUGCAAUUGAUGGAACUCUUCGCUUUGAUCCGUUUUGAAUGGGACGGUAAGUGGGAGGCUAAAAAUAAAUUUAAAAUAGAUCAUUUCAAAUUCAUCCUAAUGUUUCAAGAAAAGAAAGCGAAAAGUGAAAGAAUCCUCCCCUUCUGUGAUCCGUCCUAAUCAACUAAAAAUUGCCAAUAACCAGCUCGAUCUCUACCCCCGAGACAUUGGAUUUUCACUAUUCGACUCUUUCGCGGGUAAGAACAAAGUUGUUACACCAUAUAGCGCCUUCUAAUGCUUUUCAGGACAAGAUCUAAAGCUCUCUACAUAUAAGAGAAUCACUCAUGAAAUAACACUCUUGACUCUUGAUCAAGAUCUUGUUUUCUAAACUGCUUCAUUCUCAGCGUGGCUGGAGAUCGGUCAUUCGAUCAGAUUCUUUUGAAAAAUCAUACGUGGAGGUAUCCUUGCAUGCAGCUCAUGCUAUUUGAGGUGCAUCUCGAAUUAUUGAGAUUGGUAAUCGACCGAAAGCAAUUUGAUUAUAAUUCAAUUCGUGUCGAUCAUAAAUUGAAAUUCAUAUUCUUCUAACCUAACUAAGGCAAUAUCCCACGUAAUGCACACUAGGAAGAUGGGCCCCCAUGACAUGCCCAUGUCUGGCCCGCGAAGCCCGUGGUACGGGCCGAUUAGAGUUCGUGGGCCGGACUUCAAACUUGUGAAAUCAUAUCAUAAUUUUAUUAAAUGGUAUGGAAGCAAAUCUUAUGUAUGUAUAAUGCAAUGAUCUGACCUGCUAACAAUAAUAUCUCGUUAGUCAAAAUACUUAAGUCUAAUUAUUAUUAUUAGGAUCCAUAUUCAGUUCCACAUUCUCGUUAAUCCAAUCACACACAUAGCUCAAGCCCACCUCACACAUCCGAUUGUUGAACUGGCUUUGAUGUCAUAUUGUAAUGACCCGGUGCGCUAGCAAUAAUAAACUCAAAUUCUUAACGUCAGUUAUUAUUACUAGGUUCACGAUCGCUUAUUUUCAUAAUCACAAUUUCGUUUUCAUUUGAUGUGGGACUGUUGGAGUUUCACAUAUAGCUCGGUCAGGCAUGAAGGAGCUAAACCCAAGCUCGGCUUUUCAUUUUUAUUUGAUGUGGAACUAUUGAGGUUUCACAUAAGUAGAAAUGUCAACGGGUCGGAUUCGGGACGGAUUUUCAAAAACCCGAACCCGAACCCGACUCCAAACCCAAGACCCAAACCCGAAUCCGAACCCGACGGAUUUUAAAAAUCUAUAUCCAAAUCCGAAACCGACUAAAAAUCUGAAACUCGAACCCGAAACAAUUAUUUCUUUUUUCAAUAUUUCAAAAUAUAUUAUAUUAAAUCUAAAUUUUUAAAAUACAAAUUCAAAUAUAACAUCAAAUUUAUAUAUAUAUAUAUUAUAUAUAAUGCAAAAUAAAUUCGGAUUCGGGUUCGGGUUCGGGUUCGGGUCGGGUAUAGUCAAAAUCCAUAUCCAAAUCUAUAUCUGUCGGGUUUCUAUUUUUGAUAUUCAUAUCCGAAUCCAUAUCCAUUUAGCAUCGGAUAUAUCCGCUCUAUUCGGGUUCGGGUUCGGGUUCGGGUCGGGUAUAGUCAAAAUCCAUAUCCAAAUCUAUAUCUGUCGGGUUUCUAUUUUUGAUAUUCAUAUCCGAAUCCAUAUCCAUUUAGCAUCGGAUAUAUCCGCUCUAUUCGGGUUCGGGUUCGGGUUCGGAUAAAAUUUCGGGUAUCCAUACCCAUUGACAUCCCUACACAUAAGCUUGGCUUUUUUUUCGAGAGAGAGAGAGAGAGAGAAAGUAAGCAUGCUACCCGCUUCACUUAUAUUUUUUAGAAAUAAAAUUAAAUGAAUAUGUGAAGUAACUAGACUAUGAAAUUGGGAUUUCGGGUAUUAACCAGUAAGCUCUUUGCCAUUUGCGCUAAGGAUGGUCUGUUUAAUGUUACGGAAGGGACCCGACAAGUACGACCCGGAUUUGAAAAAACGAAGCCCAAGUCCGCCCGUUAAGGUCCGGACUCAAACUGUAUUAUUCUAAAAAAGGGUUAUUUGCAUACACGUCCCUACAAACAUAGUGAAUUGCGGAAAUAUCCCUGCAAAACGGAAACUCCAUAAGUUGUCCCUGCAAAAGUCCUAAGUUAUGCAGAUAUGUCCCUACCGUCCAGAUCUGUUAGAAAAUUUUCGUUAACCACGGUUAAAAUACUUAACCAUGGUUAAGUAUAGUGUGAAUUGACGUAUUUACCCUUCUUCCUCUUCCUCCUCUUCCUCUUCCUUCUUCUUCGUCGCCGGCGAGGAGAUGCGGCGGCGACGGUGGCGAACCCUCUUCAUUUUCCUCUUACCUCUUCCUCUUCUCCCUUUUUCUCCUUCCUUCUUUCUUCUUCCUCUUCCCUCUUCUUCGUCACCGGCGAGGGAGAAGAAUCUCGUCGGGGUCGGUCUCGGAGGAAAGGCGGGCGAGUUUCUAGACGAAAAGCUCGAGGGCGUUGUUGUCGACGAGGGCGGCGACGAGGGCGUGUGCGGGGUCGUCGUGGUCACCGAGGACGUCGGCGUCGGUGAGGUCGGUGAGGAGGGAGACGACGUCGCCGGCGAUGUCGGCGAUGUUGUGGCCGAGGAGGCCGACGAGGGAGGGGACGGCGUUGAGGGCGACGAGCUCCGGGUAGAGCUCCGGUGCUCGGCGUUCUUGCCUCUUCUUCGUCGCCGGCGAACCUGACCCCGCGCCGCCGCCGCCGCCGUCGUCUGCUUCGAUGGUCCGAAAAGGAAAAGAAAGAGAAGGGGAAGAAGAAAACUUUUGGAGGGAUAUAUUUGUGAGGGUAAAAUGGUCAUUUCACGACUUCGCUGUUAAAAAACAAACAGCUCACUAACAGAUGUUAACUGCAGGGACAUAUCUGCAUAACUUGAGACUUUUGCAGGGACAACUUAUGGAGUUUCGAUUUUGUAGGGAUAUAUCCGCAAUUGGCUAUGUUUGCAGGGAGCUGUAUGCAUUUGACCCUAUUCUAAAAUGGCUCGGCACGACACGGCCCAAUUACUUGACCAGAUAAUAAAACUUUUCUCCCUUUUUUUUUUUUGUGCCUUUUGGAUUUCUCUUUUUUGCCUCUCUAACUUAUGUACUUUUAUAUAUAUAUAUAUAUAUAUAUACAUAAAUUGCAUGUUUGGUUCUUAAAUUAUGAAGGAGGCAGCGAUUUGGUCUUUAAAUUUUAAUCUGUUAUAAUUUCUGACUUAAUUGAUCUUUCAGAAUUAUUGUAAUCAGAUCUUAGACCCAAUUUAGCUGUAUCGAUAUUUAGUCAACUAAACUGAGUUGUGUGAAUUGAUUGCAAUAAUUCAAAAAGUUCGAGUCAGAAAUUAUAAUAAAUUAAAGUUUGAUGACCAAAAUGUCAUCCGCCUUAUAGUUUGAGACCAAAUUAAAUGUGCAAUUUACCCCAUUUUUUUAACAUUUUAAACGCAUAUUUUAUAGUUUGAGACCAAAUUUUAUUUGUCAUAAAAUUAAAACAUGUGCACGCACGUACGGUCACGCGCAUGCGAAAAAUACAAGAAUUUAAUCUAGCAUGCAUAAAGAAGGCAAUUAAAGCAAGACAAUAAGUCAAUAACUAAGUACAAAUAUUAAUAAAAAAACUAUAAUUGUUCAUUUUUUUGUUUAUUUUAAUUAAAUAAAAUGGUUUCAAUGCAUUGAACACUUUAUUUUAAUGAUAAAAUAUCCGAAUCGAUGAUCUGCAUUAUUUAACACGCUUUAGGAUACGUGACCUUUCCUGGAUCCAAAUUUCAUAAUUUUCGAAAUUCAUAUUCUAGUUCACCAUAUGGUGCACGCGAGGCUUUGGAGCGCGUGGAGUAGAGAUCGGAUAGGUGAAGGAGAAGGAGGAGAGAGGAGGAAGAGGUGGAGGAGAGAUCGAGGAGGAAGAGGUGGAGGAGAGGGGAGAGCUCGAUCGAGGUCGAGCUCCGCGUCGGAGGAGGGGGCGCGAAUGGGGUGGGGGGCGAAUAGGGUUAGGGUGGGAGAUACGCUCGUGUGAGCCCAAUCGGGGGCUGCGUUGGGUUCGAAUUAGAUUUAGGGUUAGGAUUAUAUUGCUCAAAUAAAUAUAUUUAAUAUAAAAUUAACAGCUAUUUAAAAUAAUUGCCGCUAAAACAUAAGUUAUAAAAAGAAUUAACGGCCGUUCGAUAAUCGCCGCUACUAAAUUGCCGCUAAAAGAUGAUUUUGUUGUAGUGCAUGUAGUUACGAAUGAGUGGUCAAAAUUGUACAACUUUCUCAUUAGAAGUUAAGUAUAGGAUUCUUAAUUAACCUUAAGAUCAUGAUUGUAGAACUUAAUUAGUCUAGUUAGCUUAAAAAAUUUCUACGAAAAGUACAAAAAAUUAAACUACCCAUAUUAGUCGCUAAAAUUAAUUGUCAUUUUAGAAUCCAAUUCCUAGGAAGUUUAGAUAUCUUAAAUCAUGUUUAACAGAGCUAAUCAUUAAUUUCAAUAUCGUAUUAUUAUAUAUAUUUUUCAGUAAUUUUGCUUCCGGAAAUAUUCGAGCUCCAAUUGUGUUCACUUAGACUAAAUUUUAAGUAAGUUUAUUAGCAUAGAGGUUAGUGAAAUCUCAUUAUGUUCAAAUUUUAAUAUCAAUCCUUAGAAAAAUAAUUAAAAAGGAAAUUUUUAUAAAGGAAAAAACCCUAUUAAUUGAUAGAACAAGGGCAAAGAGUCCACAAAUAACUAAGAUUCCAAAAUAUUAUAAACCAAUAGUGUUUGCACAUUAAGUAGAAUAUAUUGUAACUAUUAACUCUAAAAUUCCUUAAGUUACAGGUAUAUAUAAAGUAUGUACCAUAUUUGAUAAUUAAUUAUGUUCACUUAUAUUCAAAUUUUUUUUUAAAACAAAUUUAAUUAAGUCCUCACGUGGUCUUAAUUAACUUAAUUACCAAACAGCUGUUAUUCUCAAAACAAGUUAUUAAAAGCCUUUAAUUUGAUAAGCUACUAACUAACACUUGCUUAAUUAUGAGGCAUCUAAUUAAACAGAUUAUUACUGAUCUACUUGAUCCCCCCCAAAAAACACACACAUCAUCAAUAAAAAUACUAUUUAUCCUCCCUAGAACAUGUCGCGCACUCACGUCGAUCGUAAUCAUAUGAUUUUUGCACUAAUCUAAUCAUGUAAACAACAAAAUUAAGCAUGAUUAGGAUCUCGGAGAUAAGUGAAUAAACAAUAGUUGUUUCUUCAAAAGGUGUUAUGUAGAUUUACGACAAGGAGAUUAAGAUAAACAUUAUCCGAUAAUGGCUCAACGAGACGCGUGUGCGAUGUCCAUUGAGUGUAUAGCUACAUAUGUUGGAACAGUUUGUGAUAAAGGUAUGAAAUAGAAAAAUUAAAAGGCUUCAAGGGCGUGUAGCAAUGCCAUUUUCCUUAAGGCUUAAUCCGUCCCCACCGUUCUAACAAUUUGGUGUGCACCGGGUCAACGAACAACCUCCCAGGAUACAAUGAAGCGUAAACCUCAACUGCGUUUGCACACACGAAGUCGAGCCUUUGAGCACUCACUCGAUUAAGUUGUCAAAAGAAAUAGAAUAUAAAACAAGAAUGGAAUUAUUAUGAAUGAAGACUUCAACUCUUCAACUGUUUUCUGUCUGUCUCCUUCUGCAACCAAUGCUAUGGACUUAUAUAGGCCACGAACGGGUGCUUCAUGAAGUGACUAUUCGCGAAAGGGUGUUUCGUGAAGUGACCUUUCGAUUGUGACUUUUCAUUUGAUCAUAACUACCAAAUAGUUAUAUGAAUCAAGUUCAAUGAAUAUAACCAUUGAUUCCAACGGGCAUAUGUACGAAAAGACACACUAUAAAGAUGUGUCUUUUCAUAUCAUAUUCUUUCACUAAAAGUCACAUCCUUUCACUCUAAGAGUCAUACCCUUUGAUUAGAGUUGCAUCCACUCACUAAGGGUUGCAUCCAUUCACUAAGAGUUGCAUCCAUUCACUAAGGAUUGCAUUCUUUCACGAAGAAUCACAUCCAUUCACUAAAAACAAUAAACAAAAUAUAUUAUUUUAAAAUUUUCCUUACAACAUAAACAAUGUAACGUCGAUUAAAUUCAACAAAAAUGUCAUACAUUAAGCUAAAUUUUACUAGUAUUCAAAGAAGUUGGGUAUUUGUUAUAUUAAGAAGCUUGGUUUUUCUUGCUUAGCAUUUUAUAUAUUUGUGACAAAUGAGAUAUUAUUUCGUGUCAUUUGUGCAAAUAUAAUAGAAAAUCAUUUUGGAAUAUAACAAGAUUAGUUUGUACAUAAAUGGUCCUCUCCUUUCAUAAAUUAGUCGCCAUGCGCUACUAAUCGUCUAUAAACAACAUUGCAUGUAGGUAAUGCGAAGGUAAUUAAUUAAUGAUUUGAUAAUCUUCCUAGAAUUAGGAAAUCAUGGGCCUUUGUACUUGAGCUUAUGCAGCAGUGCUAUUUAAAGAAGCUUCAACAAAUUCAUCGUAAAAUUGGUAACAACAACAUAACAAAAUCCUCAAAUUGAAGGUUCGAUAUUAAUUUAGAGCCCUUCAAGCUCAUUUGAGCUUCUUGAUAUAUAUUUUAUUUGCUAAAUACUUGUAAAUUGCUUUUCGAGUAGAGAAGCUGAUCAUUCUAAAGCCCAGGCCAUAUAAGCGAUCAAGCACUUCUAUAGGUAGUGCUUAUAUAUUGAUUAAGGCUUCUUUUGGGAUUGAGGGGAGAUUACGUUACGUGUAAUGAGAAAGUAUGAUGGAAAAAUAUCCUGUUUGUUUCCGUACAUAAUAUUACGUUCCGUAUAUUGCGAUAAGUCGGUUAUAAUUAAUAUAUUUUCUGCGGUCCCAUCAGAGAACGCAGAAGUAUAUCCCUAUAUACUUUUGCCCUAACUCCAUUUUAUCUAAUAGCGUCAGAUAAAUCUCAAUACCAAACUAAGCCUAAUUCCUGCAAAGAAAAGCAAAACAUAUAUAGUAUAAGCUAAAUAACACCUCAAACAUGAAUUCUAUUUGAAAUAUUCCUUAAUUUCCUAAUAUAAAAAUUCUUAAACUACCUAUCUAAAAGUAGGGUUCCACCUAGAAUGGAUGCUACAAAUGAUACGAGGAUUAGUUAUGAGGAAUUAGUUAAUAAGGAGGUCACAUUUUAGCUGUGAUCCUAUAUAUGAGCUAGGAGUACACUAAAGUAAAAUUAAUGCAUUAUAAAAGAGCAGUUCAAAUAAAGACAAAAACAACCUUGAUCAGAUAUAUAACUAUUCAAGUAGUUAAUUUGGAUCAUUGACAUCUGAUUAGUAAUUAAACUUAUCAUUAGUGAUCUUAUUUAUGGCUAAAGUAGCACUUAGUCCAACUCACAAUGGUUCGGGUUACAGCUAAUUAAGAUGUUGUUAGGCAUAUUAAUUACAUUAUUUCAGGCUCUGUACAUAUACUUAAUAUUAAAGUUUUUGGGUUCUAUUACUCAUGCUCAUUCUCCUUAUGGUUUUUAUUUAUCUAGUUAUUACAAGAGUUAAAAAAAAAAAAGAAAAAAAUCUAAGAUAUCUGUUAUGACGAGCACACAAAUAAAAAUGAGAAAUGACAAUUGCGAAAUACAAACCACAAAAACAAUAAAAACGAACAUAAAAAUUUACGUGGAAAAUUUUUUUGCAGAAAAAAAAAAACACGGACGAAAGAUGAGAGAACUUCACAAUAAAAAAGGGAGUACAAAGUAGUGAGAUUACAAUACACCUUAUCACGUGUAGGACAAAAACGAAGAAAAAAAUUUCUUAAUGGAUUUCUUUAUUAUCAAACCCCUUCACAAAUUCUUUCAUUAAAAUUUGUCGUACCACAAUUCUGUCAACAAAUCAGAGGCACAAAAUCAAAGUCAAUAAUCAAAUUUCGAAGCACAUCUAAUAAUAACACAUGAUAGAGUGCGUCUCGAAUGCUUCUGGAAGUACGGAGCGCUCCGUGCUUCCAAAUUAUUUUCGAUGUUCAGACUUUCGAAUCGACGAUCGGCUCCAUUAGACUUGAUCUAGAGCAUUUGAAGUACCUAGAAAAUAAAUUUUGCGAUUUUUCGAUAUCAUUUGCCUAGUGAUCGAAGAGGCUCAAAAUCAACGGCUGAAAAUAAAAAUCUUACAAAAUAUGAUGAUAUGAUAUUAAAAUUUUAGAUCAAAGUUAUUGAUCUUGUUUUAUAUGGUAUAAAAAAUUUUCUAUCAAAAUUUCAUGUGAUUUGGAUAUUUCUACACCGUUAAACUUGCAAACGGCUCACCACAGCCAUUAAAAUUAUUGAUUUUGAGCCCCUUCGAUCACUAGGCAAAUGAUAUCGAAAAAUCACAAAAUUUAUUUUCUAGGUACUUCAAAUACUCUAGAUCAACUCUAACGGAGCCGAUCGUCGAUUUGAAAGUCCGAACAUCGAAAACAACUUGGAAGCACGGAGGGCUCCGUGCUUUCAGAAGCAUGCCAGCCCACUCACACAUGAUAUAUAUUAUGUCCCUUCUAUGAUAUAUCAACAAAUAGGCUGAAUUAUAGAUCCACUACAACAAAAUUAGGUUAUAGGGACACAUGUUUGGAAUACUUUUGUGUAAGUGUCUUAUUUAUGUCAAAACUUUAAAAAAAAUCUACUAAUGUCUAAAUAUAAAGCCCAAUCCAACUAAGAAUAAAAGGUUACUCUACUCAACCCACCUCAACCAGCCCAUUCGGCCUGAUAACAAGCAGAAAAAAAAAGAAGAAAAAUCGAUUACCAUCUCUCCUUCUCCCCUCACUCAAUCCACUGAAAUUCUAGACGAAGAGCCCUUUCCUCUCUUCCUCCUCCUCCGCUACCGCAGCCAAAAAAGUAGAGUACCGGCGGUUGCUAAAUGCUUAAAUAAGUGUUGAUAAAUUAGCAGCACUCUUUUAGAUUAUACCGACACUCUUUAAUUGUCACUAUAUACCUACCGACCCCACAUAUAGCAACACUUUUUAAAAGUGUCGGUAACUUAGCCAGCAACACUUUUUUUUUAUCUGUAUCGAUACUUAAAAGCGUCGCUAUACACCGUUUUUGUUGUAGUGAGAAAACCUCAUUAUAAAUACUUUUUUUUUAAUUUUUCUCCCCAACUUUCAAAAACUUAUAUUUUACCCCCUCAACAUUUUAAGUUAUUGCAUUUAAUCCCCCUUCGUCAUGGUUUCAUCACUAUUCCGUCAAUUUCUUAUAAUUUAUAUCGAAAAUACCAUUCAAAAUGAUAGAAAUAAAUUAAAAAAAAAAAAUUUAAUAAAAGAAAUAAGAAUAAUUUGGUCACUUUACACCCUCCAAUAAUGCCUUACUCCCCUGAAAAUAUUUAUGAAAUUUUAAGAGAGUAAAAUAUAGGUUUUCAAAAGUCAGAAAAAAAAAGUAAAAAUAAAACU
rnacentral:lncRNA from 1 species